rnacentral:lncRNA from 1 species
UUUGGGAAAAAGAUGGGGUCUCAAAUGGCCUCUAUUACUCUCACUAUUGCAUUGGCAAUAAUCUCUCUUACCUUGCCAUCCCAAACUUCAGCAAACAGCUACAUCUAUUCAUCUCCACCACCACCACCAAAGCCUUACUACUACCACUCUCCACCACCACCGGUGCACUCACCACCUCCUCCUUACCAUUACAGUUCCCCACCACCACCUCCAAAGAAGCCAUACAAAUACGCUUCUCCUCCACCUCCAGUUUACAAGUACAAAUCACCUCCUCCACCAGUGUAUAAGUAUAAGUCUCCUCCUCCACCACCGAAGAAGCCAUAUAAAUAUCCAUCUCCACCACCACCAGUUUACAAGUACAAGUCACCUCCUCCACCAGUUUACAAGUAUAAAUCUCCUCCACCACCAGUUUACAAGUACAAAUCACCUCCUCCACCGGUGUACAAGUAUAAAUCCCCUCCUCCACCAGUGUACAAGUACAAGUCUCCUCCACCACCACCUAAGAAGCCAUAUAAAUACCCAUCUCCACCACCGCCAGUUUACAAGUACAAAUCACCUCCACCACCGGUGUACAAGUACAAAUCUCCUCCACCACCAGUUUACAAGUAUAAAUCCCCUCCUCCACCAGUGUACAAGUACAAGUCUCCUCCACCACCACCAAAAAAGCCAUAUAAAUACCCAUCUCCCCCACCACCAGUUUACAAGUACAAAUCACCUCCUCCUCCAGUUUACAAGUAUAAAUCUCCUCCACCACCAGUUUACAAGUAUAAGUCACCUCCUCCCCCAGUUUACAAGUACAAAUCUCCACCACCACCACCCAAGAAACCAUACAAGUAUCCAUCACCACCACCACCAGUUUACAAGUAUAAGUCUCCCCCUCCACCUGUCUACUCACCACCACCAGUUUACAAGUAUAAGUCUCCUCCUCCACCUGUCUAUUCACCACCUCCACCAUAUAAGUACAAAUCUCCACCACCUCCUCCUUAUAAGUACCCAUCACCACCACCACCAGUUUACAAGUACAAGUCACCUCCUCCCCCAGUUUACAAGUACAAAUCUCCACCACCACCACCCAAGAAACCAUACAAGUAUCCAUCACCACCACCACCAGUUUACAAAUAUAAGUCCCCUCCUCCACCUGUAUACUCACCACCUCCACCAGUUUACAAGUAUAAGUCUCCUCCUCCACCCGUCAAUUCACCACCUCCACCAUAUAAGUACAAAUCUCCACCACCUCCUCCUUAUAAGUACCCAUCACCACCACCGCCAGUUUACAAGUACAAAUCACCUCCUCCUCCAGUUUACAAGUACAAAUCUCCACCACCACCACCCAAGAAACCAUACAAGUACCCAUCACCACCACCACCCGUUUACAAAUAUAAGUCCCCUCCUCCACCAGUUUACAAGUAUAAAUCUCCUCCUCCACCUGUUCACUCACCACCUCCACCACACUAUGUCUACUCUUCACCUCCUCCUCCGGUCUAUUCCCCUCCUCCACCACAUUACAUAUAUUCAUCACCUCCUCCUCCUUACCACUCUUAGAUAACGGUUUACCAUAGUAUCCCAUGGUAUGCUUCUUUUUUAGUACGACCAAUAUCUUUAUGAUUAAAAUGCUUCGAGAAAUACUAAUUUAUAUAUCAACAAAAUAUAUGUAUUUUAUCAACGAAACAAUUAAAUAAGAGAAUCAAAAUUAGUGAUUUGAAUAGUUUUACAUGCCAACACAUGCAAGUCGUUAUAUAGACCUCACAUUCAUUUUAUUCUUAUUAUUCUUAUAGUCUAAAUAGUACAAUUUUCUUGAAACGUCUAAAUUGACAUACAUCUUAUGGUACAGUUUACAAAAAUCAAUCUAAGCCUAUUUUAUUUCUAUUUAUAGUAUUAUAUGUAAAUAGAAAAAAUAUACAAACUAAAAGGAAAGUUGACAGUUAUGUUUCUUAUUAAUGCUUCUCACUCGUAUUGUUCUUUGAGUGCUUAAUUAAUGUGUUUAUGUGUUUGUAUAUACUUUUGUAGGGAUUAAGGAAUAUUGGAAAUAAAGAGAACAUAGUGCAAAGCAGGAAGAUGCAUUUAGCAAUAAGGGAGAAAAACAACGGAAGCAAAGUUUCCAUGCAUUUUGGUCUCAGAAAAAGUCACUUUGUUUUUCUUAUUUGUUUGUAUAUGAAUUAUUAUUCUCAUUAUUGAGUUUGGUUAUUGAAUUUAGACAGGUGUAAUACACUGUGUGUAAUAUCGUGAAUGCAUUUUGUUUUGGAACCUACUCUUUGCAAGGGGUUGGUUGGGAAAAUAAAAUUGAAUAUUUGUUCUACUAAUUCUUUGCAUAUUUAUUGUGAAAUUACAAUAUAAUCAAUGCUCAACUAAUUAUUUUUUUCAACAGAAAACUAAUGCAUUUCAUUAAAAAUUAAAGGACCAAUAUAAAGGAGAAUGUCAAAUUAUAAAGCUAAGAAUUUCUGAAAAAAAAAAUAAAGUUGAGAACUGACGCUGUAUAUGUUUAGCUUAGCAAAGGUGCAUUGUGCAUCCAUAUUAGUCUCUCUCCUACAAAACUCGACAUAAGAAUUAUUACAUAAUAACGAUAAAGUACUACAAUAUCUACUUAAAAUAGAAUCUACAUAUCAAUAGCUGUUAAUAAGUUUAAAGUCUCACCCUCACUCAAUAACUUAUUUAAGCAUUGAAUGUUCAAUCCAAUUGCUAUUAAUUUCGACAAGCCGGUCCUAAUUUACUCUCUCUCGGUUUUCUCUUCCAGUUUCUUCAUUGAGGAGUUAUUUUGGGUCAAUUAUUGACCUGAAAUCACUCCUCUUCAUCUUUUUAUGCCUAUUUCAAUCUAAAUAAGUGAUUUUCACAUAGAUUUAGGUUUUUUCUUUGUGGUUUUAUCAUCUAAGUGUGGUGGUUUGUUGUUCGUCGUCUUGUGCGGCGUUGUUCGAUUUCACGUUUCUUGCGGUGUUCAUUUAAUUCAUAUUGAAAGAUUGAUUAUUCAAUCGAAGAUUUGGGCGUCAACGUUGCAGAUCCGGAUGCUAUGGAUAUUCCGGUCACUUUAAUUUUAUCAUAUAUUUUUUGUUGUGAAAACCACACCAAUAAUAAACUUGAUGCGUGGAGCAAAUUAAUACCAAGUAAUCAAAUCAAGCGGGUAGCAAAUAAUUCAAACAAAAGUAAACGACAAGAGAUAAAAGGAAAGAAGGAGAACACAAGAAUUUGUUUACCCAGUUCGGUCUAAUGAUGACCUAGUCUAGGGGAGAUAGCAGCUCUCUGCUUCACUAUAAUGAUAUGAGUUUCUUUACAAAGAGAUAUUGAAUUACAAGAAUCAGUCUUCAAACCUAAUUCUACCCAAGUCCCAGCCUCUUCCCGUGACCAAGAGACUCAAUCCUAAUGGUGCUUUGUUCAACGUGAAUCAAAACAAUCCCAACCCUAGUGUUUGUUGCCAAGAGAAAUUCUCUAUAAACCCUAUUUUCUACACAGUGUUUUGUUUCUACACACUCUCAGUCUCUCAAAUAUUCAUAUGAUACAAAGCUUAUAUUUAUAGUGGAAAGCAUUCCUCAAAAAUUGGAAACAGGCCCACAAGCUGUUUUAUUUUUCUCAUCUUGCGAGAAAUCGGCCAUCAAGUUUGGAAAAUCGGCCACCGAUUUUUCACGAGACAAAAGUCUCCAAAACCAGGUCAAAAUCGACCACCGUGUGGUGUAACACCCCAUUCCCAAAUAUAAUUUAUUUAAAUGAAAUAAACACACAUCAGAGUAAUAAAUCCAAAUGGGCAUGUCACACUACAUUUUCAAAUUUCUGAAAUAGAAUAUAAAAAAUCUAUUUAUUAAACAUCCAAUGAAAUCAUCAUUUAAUAUGCAGCGGAAUAUUAUCAACGAAACGUCAACAACUGUUUAAACCUCCAAAAUAAUAUCUCAGCAUAAAAAGCCUCAACCAGAAUAAUUCAUCAACCAUAGGGCUACAACAACAUUAACCAAAAUUUGAUACAUAGAAUGAAAGAAAACAAUAAAAUCCCAUCCCACGUAUCAGAGCCCUAGACACUUUGAGCCACCACCUACUACUCAGGAUCACCUGCAAGUUACCCAUAGGAAGGGCAACAUUUCCAAGCAGAAGGGGUGAGAUUCUCAAUCAAUAAAAAUAAAAUAUAAUAACAUCAAUUGAAAAUCUAGCACCUUACAACAUCAAUGAUUAUUCAAUAAGCAUAGGUAUUUCAUAAUCGACAACAAUCAUUCAAAUAUAGAAUUCAAUCAACAAUGCAACUCAUGAUAUGACAUGACACCCCCCUUUAAUACUCCUCAAUAAAUGCAACUAUGCAUGUGGUACCAUAAUUCAGGGCCAUGACCCACACCACUGUCGAAUGGUUAAAGCAUUCUCAGCAGGACCUAAGUCCUCACCGCUCCACACCGCUUUGAACAACUAGUGUUCCACCGCUUUGAACGACAAGGCGUUCCAGAGCCGAAGCUCUCCCACUUUGAUGUUUAUGCAACUACCCCACCUGUGUAUAUCUACAUACAACUCGACCACUACAUAUGUAUCAUAUGACUUACUACUCCACAACUCAAACAAUCCAGACUUACACAAUUAUUUAUAAUUAUGCACAUACAUCAAUCAUCUCCGACAUUCACUAACACCAAUCAAUCCAAUCACUGGCUAGUUUAAAUAGGAUUUGGUCACCUACACCAGGGUUAUAUUAGUUAAAGAGGAAGUUAAAGAACGCUCAAGAAGUCCCCUCAUGCACUAAGCAACAGUUCAGAAAAGGCUGAUUAAGGUUCACUUCGCUUAAGCGACGGCUAGUUCGCUUAAGCGACCAGCUUACAGUAGGUUCUGGGUUCAGUUCGCUUACGGGUCGCUCACGGUUCGCUUGAGCGAACUUUGGACAGAAUGAAAAUGGUUUUUCGCUCACAGGGUCGCUUACCAUUCGCUUAAGCGAAAUCUUGGCAGAACCAAACUUAAUUUUCGCUUACCAGUUCGCUCACGGUUCGCUUAAGCGAACGGGUAAAAUCGCAUUCUGGGCAGCUUGCUUGAAUGCUCGCUUAAGCGACGGAUGCUUCGCUUAAGCGACCACUCAUCUGGGCAGUGCAAAACCUACGGUUUCAGACCUCUUCUCACUCCAAAAACCCCAUUUUAAUCCCCUGAUCACCCAAAAUGUUUUCCAACAGAUGUUUACAGGUCCUAUAUACAACUAGGCAUUACAAAGAAACACAAUUCAGCCAUCAACAACAACAAUUAUAGAAUCAUUCCACCAUCACACAAUAUUUCAUCAAUUCAUACAAUUCAUCCAAAAUUCAAUCAAUUCAUGGAUUACAGCAACAACAUGGAUUAAGAUUUCGUUCUUAACAUUAAAUUCCAAGAAACUAACAUCAUCUUUACUCAUUCCAUCAGAAUCAUCAUCAAACCCUAACUUUCAUCUUAUUUUCCAAAACUAUUCAAUUAGGUCAAUUUCAGAAAUUAUAGAUUAUGAUUAUUGAGAGAUAGUCUCACCCUUACCUUAGUUUUGCAGAAAAUUAGACAGCAAGGAUCGAUUUCUAGGCUCUCCUCUCUAGCUCUUGCUCUUCUUCUCCCUUUUCCCAAAACUUGUCUGUUGUACGUGAAACUGUUUUCUGACUAUUCCUUUUCCUAACUCCCCAAAACUAUAACUCCCCCUAUUACAUUAAACUCCAUUAAUUUUUAUUAAAUUCUAAUUAACUCCCUAAUUUCUAAAAUAAUAUUAAUUUCCAGUUAUUUUAAUUAUUAUUAUAUUAAACUAUAUAAUAAAAUGCACACACCACAUAAAUCACCAAAAAUCAUAUAAAAUCACAUUUGAGACUCCACAUAAUUCAAAAUAAAAUAAAAUAAUACUAGGGCGUUACAUGUGGUACAAAUUGGACACCGAAUUUGACAGACAGGAUGCACAUUUUUGAGUCACUUUUCAACAUUUUUGUAGGCAUUAUGUCGUUAUAUGCUAUUAAUUAACUUUGAUGUUGUGAGUUUAUUAGCAGAUUCAUCCUUUAAGUUUUUAGCGGUGUUGAAUGAUGUAAUCUCGAUUUGAAUGAAUGAAUAUCAUUUUAUUUUUGUAAAAAAAAAAAAAAAAAAAACUAUAUACAUCAUUACUGUAAUUUUUUUUACAACAUGUAUCAAUCAUUUUGUUACAUUUUGUAUUAGUUACUAAAGUAUAUCUACAAAUAGUCUAUGUCGUUAAUUGUGAUCGAAUGCACACAGAUUUUUACAUUAAAAUUUUGCAAACCAUCAAAGUUAAAAAAACAUGCAUAGAACAAACCUUGGGAUAUGUAUUCGAGAUGACGAAAACACUUUUUGUGUUGGAUAAAACUUUGUCCAUCACUGCAAUGUAUAAGCAUACGGGAGAAGUUUUGGGUUUUUUCCAAUCGUUACACUAAUUAAGUGAUAUGUAAUUUGACAAUGUUGACUUUACAUUGUACUCAAAGAUUAUUACAAAUGGUUUCCAUCAUCAUCGUGUUCAUGUUACAUAAUUUGGUCAAGUGAUUUCAGCUUACAGGGGCCUCUUUAAUACUUAUUUCACAAACUCUUAGGACGAGUUUAACAGACGACAAACCAAUGAGGUAGUUCACAUCCUUGUUGGGUUGUCAAAUUAUCAACUAAUCUCACUAUUUAUUCGCAUGUAAUUCGUUGUAUAAGCACUCUUAUUAUUAAUUAAACUAGCGAGUUAACCCGUGCAAUGUAUGAGCGACAUAUGCUACUAUUUUUUAAUCUCCAAAAUUAUAUUCUUUUUUUUGUUUUUUUAUAUAUCACUAGCGAAAAGACAAGCACUCUCGUGCCCGUCUUUCCGCUCUUUUUAUUGCGUUAAUGUUUGAAAAUUAUGAACAAUAUUUUUUUAUGAAAUUUUGAUUUUGAUUAAAACUAUAUAUAUAUAUAUAUAUAUAUAUGUUUGUUGCUUUAAAAUUAUAACAAAUCAAACUAAUCAUGAUUAUCUAUUUCAUUGAAACCAACAAUAUAACAAAAAAAAUAUAAUCUAAACUCUUAUUUUUUUAAUGACACCAACAACGAUCUUUAUUAUAGAAAAAGUUAUUUGAGGGUAUAAUUGAAAUAGUAAAAAAGUAAGUAUAUAAAAAUACUCAUCUAGUUUGUUAGACAUUUUAAAAGAUAAAAGAAAAAAAUUAGACAUAUAUAUAUAUAUAUAUAUAUAUAUAUAUAUAUAUAUAUAUAUAUCGUGUUUCUUACACUUUUAUUUUAAUACAUGAAUUUGCUUUAAUCUAUUUGUUUUGUGUUAUUUGUAUUGAAAGUUAAGGGUAAUUUUGGAAAGAGAAAAAUUCAGCCUAAAAGAGUCUAAAUAUGCUAUUUUCUUUAUAUAUAGUAUAAAUUAACUAACAUUUUAUAAGUUAUAGCCGGCCCUAGUUUUCUAGUGAGAGAAACUCCAACUUCUCUCUAGACUUUCUUUCUCCUUCGUUCAUCGAGGAGGGGUGGUUUUAGGUCAUUUUUUGACCUAGAAUCACCCCUCUACAUCUUUUUUCCCCUUUUCUUUCAAUCUAAAUAAGUGGUUUUCACAUCUAUCAAGUUUUUCGUUUUGUGUUUUUUGUGAUUUCGUCGUCUAAGUGCGGCGUUUGAUUUCGCGUCUUGUCGCGGUGUUUGUUCAGUUCCUAUUGAAAGAUCUACAUCAAUCAAUUACAAAUUCAAGCAAUGAUUUGGAUGUCAACGUUGCAGAUCCGGAAGCAUGGGUAUUUCGGUGAUUUAGGUUUGAUCAUAUUAUUUGUAGGCAUUUUGCUGUUGUAUGCUAUUAACUUGGGUGCUGUGAGUUUGCUCGCAUAUUCACCCUUUACAUUUUUAGCGAUGUUUGUAUCUGAUGUACUCUAUCGAUUUGAAUGAAUGAAUAUCGUUUUGUUUUUGUAAAAUAAAAAGUGUUUUUUUUUUUUUUUUAUAUUUUUUAUUAGUGACAAAUAUUUGACCCAUACAUUUUUUAUGUAUUAAUGAUAAAUAUUUGUUCUAGUUUUCUAAAUUUAUAAUGACAAAUAUAUCUUAUGUGUUUAUCAUUGACAAAUAUUUGACACAUUUUUUUAUAUAUUUAUCAGUGGUAAAAACCUCAUAAAGAACCUAUGUUAAAUACUUGUUCCGUACUUUUUUAAUUGAUCAAUUACAAAUAUUAGUCCCAUGCUUUUUAAUAUUUUUUGUUCAAUUUUUUAAAAUAUUUAUCAAUUAAUUUAGGGUUAACAGGCCUUUACCCCCUACAAUGAUAGGCGAAUACUUGACCCUAGAGCUCUAAAAUGUGUUUUUGUUGGCUAUUCCUCCACUUAAAAAGGAUAGAAAUGUUACCAUCCUUCGUACAAACAAUUCUGUGUCUAGAGAUGUUACAUUUCAUGAAGAGGAAGCUUUUUUCAAACAACCUUAUCUUCAGGGAGAGAAUUUAAGAGAAGAUAAGGAAAUAAAUCAUGAAAUCCUUGCUCUUCCUAUCCUUGAGUUUGCUUGUAUCCUAAGGUUGACAUAACCUUAGAGAACCUUUCAAACCAUGCUCAGGGUGAUUGUUUCAAUCCAUAUAAUGCCUUUUUCAACCUGCAUAUAGAAUUGGCAGCAAGAUUUUUACAAUAUUCUGGCGGUACCUCCAUAUAGAUUUCCUCCUCUAGUUCCCCAUGCAGGAAAGCAUUUUUCACAUCAAAUUGCUGCAAUUCCCAACCAUAAAAGGAAUGGAAAUGCAAUAAUUGAAGCUUAUACUGAUGAUGACCAUGCGGGGUCAAUUACAGACAAGAGGUCCACUACUUGAUAUUGUACCUUUGUUGGAGGAAAUUUAGUAACUUGGAGGAGCAAAAAACCGAAAGUGGUGGCUUGCUCUAGUGUUGAAGCUGAGUUUUGAGUAUAACAUAAGGUAUUUGUGAACUACUUUGGCUGCAAAUUAUUUUAGAAGAUUUGAAGAUAAAAUUGGAUGGACCUAUGAAGUUCUAUUGUGAUAAUAAGUCAGCAAUCAACAUAGCUCAUAAUCCCGUUCAACAUGAUCGAACAAAACACGUUGAGGUGGAUAGGAAUUUUAUCAAAUAUUUUUAUAUUUAUUAGUGACAAAUAUUUAUUUCACGUUUUCGGAUAUAUUAGUGACAAACAUUUGUCCUAUGUUUGUUAUGUAUCAGUUAUUAAUAAAUGUCUUGUGUAUAUUUAUCAUUGAUAAGUAUGUGUCCCGUGUUUUUAUUUUAUUUUAUUUUUUAUAUUCUUCGAUCUUAAAGCAACGAUGAUAGAUCAAGACCUAGAGUGAUAAUUGGUGCCAUUUAACAAAGAGUUUGCAAGAACAUUCCCAAGAUUUUUAUUUGGAUGCAUGAAAUAUGGAUUUAAGGUAUCAUUCUGGUAACCUUUGUGAUGAUGAGAAUCGUGUCCUCCAUUGACACUUCCAGCAAUACUAUCCAUAGACAUGAUGAAUCAACGAAAGGGAUUCACAGAGAAAAGAAAGAAGAGAUAUUUUUACAUUCUUAUGACAUAACUAACUACACACUAACUAUGAUUAAGACUAGAGAUGACUAUAGUUAGGAUGUUACAACUAACUGUUAACUGCCUCAAUAACUUGCAGAGCAACUUACUUAGUGUUCACUAUGUUUUGUUGUUGACAAAAUUCUUAUUUGAUGUUUUAAAAAUUACAAACAUAUUAAAUUUAUUUCAUCUUGUUAUCUACUAACUUGUUCUGUGAUAAUUAUUUCAUGAGAAUGAUCACGACAACAUUCUGGUAUCAUAAGACAAACAAAGCAGUUACGUCAAAAGACAAAUCAGCAAAAAGGCAAAAUUUAGCUUUACAAGAAUAUUUAACUUUUGAAUUAUUAAUAUCAAGAUCAAGACAUUUAUAUGCCUUAUUAAAGGAAGACAUAUAAUGUUCUGUCGAAAAGAAAAAAAAAAGAUAUUUAAUCAUUGUUGAUUGGCAAAAUGAAGAAAGAAAUGUUUUGGGCCUUAAAGAAGAUUUUUUAUCCAUUAAGGAAAAGAAACAAGUCCAUUAAAGAAAAAUAUCUCAUAAAGGCUUUAAGCACAUGUGAAUUAAAUGUGACAUCAUCAAAAGGACAAAAGAAUGACAUAAGCAUGUCACUUCUGACAACUAUCAACAACUCAUUAUAGCCGGAUAACUCUCACGUGGAAGCAUAAAGUAAGCUGGACAUCCAUAACCUUCUGGAUGUGUAAAUUAACAUUCUAGUCGUGUUGAAGAAGAAAAGUGAAAUCAAUUGAAACUUUGGAUAUCUAUAAAAAUGUGCCCAACAACUCUAUUUUCAUAGUUUAUCACCAACACACUCCACAUCUAUAAAUACAUGAAGACAUGAAGAAUCAAAACAAGUGUUUUGAAAGCAAGCAUUCUCUCGAGUGAAAAUCAUCACUAUAUACAAACUCUUCACAAACAAACAAAUUCUAAGUUCUCUCAAUAUAUCAUUUGGAUGAUACUCAUUCAAAUUUGUUUAUUUAAAUCUCAAACAUGUGUUGAGAAUUUCAUUUGAUCCAAACCCACCUCAUCAUACAAAGUGUAUUGUGUUCUCAAGUCUAUUGCUAACAAUAUUUUGAGAAGAAUUGACAACCUUUCUUGUCCAGAAUUAAAAAAUUGUAGAAGCCUACUAAGGUUUAUUUUACAGGAUUUAACGAACUGAUCUGGUGUGAUCAAGAAUUUAUGGUGCUAGUCAUAAGUUUCUGUUAGCAUGAUACUAUAGUGGAUAAUCUUACACAAGGUGUGGGGACUGAAAGUAGCCGAGUUUGGUGAACUAUGAUAAAUCUCAGGUGUUAUUCUUCUUCCCUUUCUCUCUUUAAUACUUAAUAAUCUCUCCAAAAUAUUGUGGUCCUAAUUAAUCACAAUCAAAUUAAUCCAAUGUUUUCUGGUCCUAAAUUGUUUCAUUUAAUAUUAAUUAUACAGAUGCAUUCAGAACAUUCUGAUGCAAGAUAAAACAAUUACAUAAAUAACUAAAGACAAACUCACGUUUAAAAUCAAAUUAUAAUAUUAUUUUAUCAUUCUGUUUUAUUCUCCAGAACAUUCUGGUCCUUGUUAAAAUAGUUUUACAUUUCAGCUUAAUAUCAUUUUUCUCAUUCUUCUUAUAUAUUAAAUAUAUAAUCAUUUAAUCAAAAACAUUAUGGUCCUAGAUAAAAAAGAAUUGUUAUAUAUCAAACACUCUAAUCUAAUUAGACUAACAUUUACCAAGAACCUUCUCUACUAAACAAACUUAUUUAAGUUUCAGGAAUAAUUUUAAAAGGGUCACAAUUCACCUCCUCCUCUUGCGACGUUUCUUGCUACUUCAUGUUCAACAUAGGAUUUUAUAUCACAACCAAGCGACUUUUUCACACCCACACACCCAUUAGUUAUCUAGCUGUAAUAAAAGCAUGUAAUUGAAUGAAUUAAAUGAAAAAGGAGUUAGGGUUUCAAAUAACAACCAUAUAGAUUUAGGGGUGGCCCUGAGGGCAGGCAGGAGGGGCAGUAACCUAGGGCACCAUUUUUUAAGAGGCACCAAAAUUAUUAUUUUUACUUAGUAGUUAGUACUAUAUAGAUAUAUUUCUUUUUAAUUCGUUUUGAUUAAUUAUAUUAAAAAUAUAUUUUUAGAGAACUUUAAUUGUAAAUGAAUCUUUUGUAACAAAAACUGCAAGAAGGAAAAUAUUGAAAUAAAUAAAACAACACAAUUUUAUUGUUUCGUCCAUGACACCAAAAAUCUCAGAACCAGCCCUGAGAAAGACUAUAAUGUUGUGGGGCCGCAUCUUUUCUUUUCUUAACAUGAAUGUGAAGAAAGACGAGAGAUUAUAAAAUUUAGAUAUUUUCUACGCUGCCCUUCUCUCUCUUCAUGUUUGUCUUUUGCAAAAUAACAUCAUUGUAAAAAUUAAAUUUAGUAUCUUAUACUCCCUCCAUUCCUUUUCUUUUAAUGUUUUAGAACUUUAAAUAUAUUCCAAAACUUUUGAUGUUUUAGUGAAUUUAUUAUUGUUUUCUCAAGUUUACCCUUUUCUUCCGAAGCAUAAAGAAUAACCUUCAACCAAGACAUAAACUCAAAAAGAAAAUGUUUAAAUUAAUAAUAAUAUUGAUUUUUAUGUUUGUUUUUUAUUGAACACGUAGAAAAUUGGUUUUCAAACAAACAUAACGUUUGGGAGAGUAUGUAACACUUGAGUUCGAUUCUAGAAUUGUCUAUUUGGAAGGCAGCUCAAUCUUGUAUAAAAAUAUGUCUCACAUUCAACUUGAAAUUAAAUGUCAUAGCUUGGUUAAACUAGAGCCAUGGACAGAUAAAGAGACUAUGUGAUCAAAUGUGGCUAUUUUGAUACAAGUCAUUUUGCCUUUUAAAAAAGAAAAAAUGAAUAGAUUUAAAGCAAUUGGUUAACAAAUCCAAGUCACACCUCAUCAAGGAAGGAAAAGUCAGCAUUUACUUAGCAUUCACAUAUCAAGACUUUUUGUUUAUGUUAGGCAAUUGUCCUACCUCAGGAACAAAGAGAAGAGGCCAAAAAAUAAGGUUAAAUAAUGCAAAGUCUCUGAUUCGAAGUACUUUGACUCUUUUUGUGGAUUUUAGGGAUGUUUGGUGGGUAACCUACACCAUUCAAUCAUUCCCAUCAUAUAAUUAAAUGAAUCUCACUUAAUAAAAUCAAGAAUCAUAUCCUGUUCUUCAUCAAAAUCAUAUUCCAAACCAAAUGAGUGUAUGACAUACGCUACAUAAAUUAUAAUAGAGUCUUGUUAACCAUUGUUCGGACAAUGGUUAAGGAACUUAAAAGUAGUAUGUUUGCAUUGGUUUUAAUAACUUUUAACUUUUAAAAAGUUAAAUUUAUCAGUUUUUAUCAUUUUUCAAUACUAUAUUUAUAUUUUUAUCCUCCAAUACCUCAAGAGCAAUGAUUAGCAUUCUCAUCCGUAAUAAUAUGAUUUACAUUUAAGAAAUUCAAGCCACCUUAGUCAUUAUUAAUCAUAUCCUCGAUUUUGACUUGUAAUAGGAGCUAGAACAGCUAGCGCAACAAUAAAUUUUUUGACAAAUACAUGUCCAUCAACAAGGACAGACAAAAUAUUUAAUUUUGUAAGAAAAAAAACUCAUUCAUAAAAUUAUAAUCAUGUUAAUAUAUGCUCUACGAACACAUGUUAAGAAUUCAAUAAAUAAUAACCAUUUAGACACAUGCUCGGAAACCACAUCAAACCAUAAGACGAGGCAAUGAUAUGCAAAUCACAUUUGGAAUCCUUCAACAACCAUAUAGGUUUUUCACACAUUCGAAGACCGUUAACUCACCUCACAUAAAUACAGGUAAAUCACACUUAAAGGUUAGAGUGUUUACAGGUAGAUCAUCCUCCUCUGCGACUCAUCAAUUGUGUCAUCGAUUUGGUUUACCCUCAGCUUCUUUUUUAUUGAUUGAUUAUAACUUUUUAAUAUAUCAACGACUAUAAUUAUUUACAUUAUAUAUAUAUAUAUAUAUAUAUAUAUAUAUAUAUAUAUAUAUAUAUUUCAAAGUCUAAAUUAGUAAAUGUGCACUUUUUUAUUUGGACAAAAAAGUCAUUCACCUUUAUUAUUUAAAACUAUUACAUUGAGGGUUACUUUUGUAACUUUAUUAUAAAAUAAUGGCUAAAAUAUGGUUUUAGCCCAUGUAAAUAUGUCUCGUUUUAGUUUUAGUCCAUGUAAAAAAAAAUUGUUUUUGGUCCCUGCAAAAUUUUUUGUUUUUGAAAAUAGUUCCUCAGGGACUAUUUUCAAAAACAAAACAUUUUGCAGGGACCUUUUUAAAAAACAAAAAAUUUUGCAGGGACCAAAAACAAAAUUUUCUUUUUACAGGGACUAAAACCAAAACGAGACAUAUUUGCAGGGACUAAAACCAUAUUUUAACCUAAAAUAAUUGUUAACUUGCAUCACUUAGCUAAUUACUUAGAUCCACUUUUGUUAUGAACACAACAAUUACAAACAUUAAACAACUAAAAAAAAGACAAAAUAUUUGUGUUUUUAGUAAAGACAAAAUAUAGUUAACUUGCACCACUUAGCUAACUUAGACUCACUUUUAAUUUUUUUUUUAUUAAUUAAAUGCAAUUGAAAAAAAUAACCUUCUAUGAAAAACAAUUGGAAUAUGGGUAAUUGAAUUUUAUUUUUUUUUCAAAUAAAAAUGUGAGCACUACUAGAAAAAGCUAAGAUACCGACGAAAUUUAGAGACGGAAUUAGAGACGGAAAAAAUCAAUGAGAGAAGAAAAUAAGGUGUUUAAAAUUCAUUAUCUGGUAGAACAGGUCUCGUGCGGUUGUUUCAGCGGGGUUGAUUUAGUCCUCAAUCCGAAGCUUCAUUACACUUGAAGCUUCUUAGUCGUGUUGUGUAGAAAUUAAACCUUAAUAUUUUGACUCAAAGCUCGUCAUGUGUUACUAAUAUCUAUUUCUAUUAAGUAUAUAUUUGUAUAACUGUGCUACAAUCUAUCAAUGGAUAUAAUCUAUCCACCUGUUUAUUUUAUAAAGAUUAAUUAUAUGAUUGUUUUAAUACAAAUAAAGACCUUAAAAGUUAAAAAAGUUAUACUCCAUAUUUCAAUACUCAAAUUUCAUGGUUGUCCAAGUAAGUUGUAACAUAUACUCAAAUUUCAAAAUAACAAUUCGUUAUUCAACAAAUUUGAAAAUGAUGCAAUGAUAAUGACAUAUAAUCAUCUUAACAUCAAAAAUAUAGCACAUGUAGUUGGAAAAAAAAAAAAAAAAAAAACGCAUGUCAAAAGUGUGUACAUUUAAGAUCGAUAAGUCAUUGUAGGAGUAAACCUAGCCACUUGUUGUACAUACAAUAUGAUAUAGAUUUUGAGAAAUGUUAUUUGUACAACUAUUUUGUGACAACUUUCUCUUUCAUACUCACAUUAUAUUCUUACUCUUUCUCAUCCUUUUUCUCUCUCCAUUAUUUUUGACCAAUACCAAAAGAGAAAAAGAAGGUUGUCAUGAAAGUUGUAUCAAAUGGUUAGCUCGAAAGAUUUGUAUGUUACUUUACCACAUGAUUUUUUUUUCGAACAAGUCAAAAUGGAAUAUUAUAUCAUCAAAGAUGGUUCAUCUCGCAUAAGGUAUGCAAAAGAGAAACACCCACCAAAAAAUACAGCUAGAUGUCUGGUGCCAUAAAAGAGCACUCCUGAAGAAAAACAGAAUAAAACAAGGCUACAAUAAAACACCCAUACAAUGUAAAGGGUGCCGCCAACAGUCAUGGUAACUAAAAGCAUAAGUAGACUUGUUUGCCUUUAACCAAGAAAAAGACAUCAAUUUAAUAUUUUCCCAAUAAUUAAUUAUUACACCUCUCUUUAAAUAUAAUAUAUUCUUAAGUAGUUUUUUUGUCUUUGUUAUAUGACCAUUAAUUUGUAUAAUUUUAUCCCAAUUAAUUUAUAUUUUUAAUUAAAUUAAAGAUGCAUCUAGUAUAACUUCUGAAAAAUGGUUAAAGAGUUGAACAUCACGUCCUUAAGGAGCAUGAACAAACUUCUUAAAAAUGGUUAAAGAGUAUGAAUGUCAACAUGUAUCUAUCAACCAAUUUUUUAAUCAAACUAACCUGUUCCAUAUGAACAUAACCUCAGAUAUGGACCAGCUCCAUGCAUGAGUGUGAGUUAGCUUAAAACUUAUGUUAUAUCUAUCAUUCUUUCUAAUAAUUUUAUUGAAUGAAUUCUAUUUUGCCCGUGCAAAAAAAGAAGUAAAAAUGAACCUUCUAGGAGAGCAAGGAAAAAAUUACUGGUUAAUGGUGAUUUUGACUGGUUUCUUAACUAUGAAGUUAUGACCUUGCACCAACGUUAAGGACUAAGUAUUUGAUCUAUUAAAUUAGGGUUACGAAAGCUCUAGUUUUGCUAAAUUAUGAAAAUACUAGUUUUGUUUAUAAUAGUGAUCAGAGGUAUAUAUCAAGACAUGUAUAUUGAUUUUGCUAAAUACUACUAAAUUGGUGAAAUUGGAAUUCCUAAAGUUUAAUAUCCCUAUAUUAGACGAUCAUAUAUCAAGACAUGUAUAUUGAAUUUGCUAACUUUGAAAACAGCAUACAAACCAAUAUAUUAAAAUAAGAGCAGUGUCAACAUUUUCUGGCAAAUAAGCUAACUUAUUCUUUUGUUUACAUUUCAUUUCAAAUUCAUACCCAACUUGGGACGCAUUGGUCCAAAAAGCAUACUCACUAAUUCAAAGGCAAUCCAUUUUUUUAAUAAUAGCUGCAUGUAUCAUAAUACUUUUCACAUUUGUAAACUUAAUUUUCAAAGGCAACCAAGAUGAAUAGUUGAGGUAAAUUGGACAAAGAAAAAACCAUAUACAAAUACGUCUAUUCCUCUCCACCACCACCACCACCACCACCAUCUAAGCCAUACAAAUACGCUUCUCCACCACCACCAGUUUACAAAUACAAGUCCCCACCUCCACCCGUCUACUCACCACCACCACCACCAGUUUACAAGUACAAGUCCCCACCUCCACCACCAGUUUACAAGUACAAGUCCCCACCUCCACCCGUGUACUCACCACCACCACCACCAGUUUACAAGUACAAGUCCCCACGUCCACCCGUUUACUCACCACCUCCACCAGUUUACAACUACAAGUCCCCACCUCCACCCGUCUACUCACCACCUCCCCCGGUUUACACGUACAAGUCACCACCUCCUCCCGUCUAUUCACCACCUCCACCAGUUUACAAGUAUAAGUCUCCUCCUCCUCCUGCUUACUCACCACCUCCACCACAUUAUAUCUACUCUUCACCACCUCCUCCUCCUCCUCCUUACCACCACUAAAUGGUGGUUUACGAUAGUAUCCCACCGUAUACUUCUUCCUAUGUACAACCCACACAAAAUACAUAAUAUUUAAAAUAUUUUUAUAUAAUUCAAUUACAGUGCUUAUAAUAUUAAUCCGAUAAAUAUCUAGUUGGGCAUAGCUUCAAAUAAAAAAAUUUGGUAACACACAUAAAUGAUAAAAUUUACCAGAUAAAAAUUUAGUGACAUCAUAUCCUUUCUUUUUUAAAUUUUAUCAUUGAUGUGUGUGCGUUUAAAUAAAGUGUUGUUGCUUUUGGAAAUAGGUUUAAAUGCGAAACUACAUAUACCUUUUAAAGUUUUAAUUUAAAAAAUUGGAUUGUUAAAAUAUUAUCAUUGGCAAUUUGUAACAAAAAAAAUGAGACCUGAUGCAGAAGGUGAGUCAUGAGGUCAUCCACUAUACAAUAUGAUCACAUUAUGAUCUUAUUAAUUUUGUUUGAUUUAAAAUUUCAAGCGAUUAAUAAUCCUAAUAAACAGUUUUAGCUAGAUUAUAUAAUGUUUAAGGCAAAACCAUUUUCUUAAUGAAAGAUAUUGAUAUAUUUAUGUGUACAUAUACUUUGCAGGGUUUGAGGAAUAUAAUGGAAAUAAUAAAGAGAAGACAGUGCAAAGCAGGAAAGAUGCAUCAAUUCACAAUUAUAUAGCACAAUAAAAACAACAACCUAAGCAGUUUCCACGCACUCUGAUUCAGAAAAUGUCACUCCUUUUUUCUUCAUUUUAUUUAUGAGAUUAUUAUUCUCAUUAUUGUGCUUUGAUGUUUGAAUUUAUACUGUUGUAAAGCACUGUGUGUAAUAUUAUUCAAAUAAAUAGAGAACGAUUCUGAAAUUUGUCAUAUUGUAAAGAAUUGAAUAUAUACGGUGGCAGAGCCAAUAAUUUUAUCGAGUUUGAAUAAAAAAUUUACCGCAGAUUCACAUGCGACAUAAUAUAUAAAUAGUCAUAAAUCGAAAUAAAAUAGGCUCAUCAUUUUAUCGAUAAAAAUUACAAUUUAUUUGAAAUAAGAAAGAUGAAACAUAACCUGUCAAUAAUGUGCUAAAUAAAAUUAGAAGGUAAAUGCCCUUCCCGAGACCUCUUUGCGGUGAAUGUUCGAAUAAUAUCAACAACAUCAAGUGACUUGAAUUUCUCCCACUCGGUGUAACAUAUCAUCAAGUCAUUGAACCACACAAUGUUGAUCUUGUUGGUAACAAUUUUUUCUCACGGGCUUAUAAGAUUAUUUUACCAGCUUAUUGACAGGGCUUGAUAACUGAUGGACUUUCAACUUUUGUUGAUGUUUGUAAUAACUUUGGCGCACCCGCUAUUGUUGAAGAUCCACAAAUUAGAAGUUAAAAUCUGAUUCAUUAUGCUUUGAUGUAGAAAUGAUUGUAAGUUUUUUUGGGUAUGAAGUGAUUGUAUGUCUUUUUUUUUUGUCUAAUAAGCUAUUAUAAAUAGUGAUUCAAAUUUUGUUACCAUAAAUUAAAUGAGCAAUGGAGUAUAUGUAAAUUUUGAUUUAUGCGAGUAUUGAGUAUUUCCGUGAGUAUUGGUUUGGAUGAAUGGUAUAAUAGUUCAUAGUUAGGGAGAAUUAUUCUAAUUAAGCCACUUCAAGAAUUUAUUCUAAAAAUUGAUUAUUGUAAUCAAUUUUAAAUUCCAAUAAUAUUGAUUAUAAUAUUUUAUUAUAUUUAUUAAACUAAUUUUAGUAGUAAUUUUAUGAAUUAUUCCUUUUUAGAAUUUAUAGUAGAAUAGAAAAUAUAAAAUAAAAUAAAACAAUGAUAAGAUUUAGUGACAGCCGCAACCGCAGGUAUAGGUCCGUAAUGUUUUUAAAAUGGUCUACUUGGAAUUACAUACGUUUUGUCCGUAGGUAAAGGUGGAAAAUAUGCAGCGACAUCCAUUUGACAAUGACAGACGGAUUUAGCUACGGAAAUUUAUCCUAGAGUGACGGAUUUUUGUUGUCACUACAAGUUAAAUUUCUUGUAGCGAUACAAAGAAAGUAUCGGUUAAGCCCGGGCAUGUACCCAGACUAGAUGGGUUGUAAAACCGCUCCUGAAAAUAUACAGAAUACAUGCAUGAUUCAAAAACUAUCUAAUUUUUCUGGAAAAAAGGCUAAACUGCAGUUUUGACCUCCUAACUUUGUAAAUGUUGGGAUUUUGGCCCCCUUUUAAAAAAAUGAAAAUUUUCCUCCCCUAUGUUUUAGCCCCUUUGCAAAAGUGACCAUUUGGUCAAUUUUGACCGGGUCAACACGGAGGUGGCACUUCAUUAAUGGUGCGGGCACGCUACAUGUGUAUUUCGCAAAUUUUUUAAAUCAAAAUGCCACUUGUGUAUUUACUUGAAUUAAGAAAAAAAAAACUAUAUAAAGGUCUUGCACGUGUGAAGUCUUUCAGAUUCUAGGGUUAAAAAAUUUCCCAAAUAUUAACAUCAAUGAAAAACCACAAACCCCUAAGUUUCCAAAUCAAAUCUUCAUCCAUAAUCUCCUUCCCAAAUUGUUUCUGAAUUCGAAUAUCCUUCAUAAAUCGAUUGUCAGGUUUUUCUUCAUCUUUGUUUGUUGCGAAAAUGAAAUGGGUUGAAGAUGGAAAGGCGGCGACGAGUACAGGUUCGAAGAAGAAGAAGAAUAAAGAUGCGACAGGGAGUACAGGAACAAAGAAGAAGAAGAAGGAUGCGACAACGACUAAAGGUUCAGAGAAGACGAGAGAUUUGAAUAUGGAAGUUCAAUCAACUCAAGGAAACAUGUUCAAUGGAAAGAUUCCCGACAUGGAUGCUUCAUAGUAAGCGUUUUUUUGUUUUCAUAUGUCUAUUAACUAUAAAGUAAAGCUCAUGUUACAUUAUUUCUGAAUAAAAAAGGGUUGUUGGACCCAGAAACAGUUGAAGAUGAAUGGUUACAUGCCAUUUUUCGUUUUCCGAUCUGCAAACACACAAAACAAAUCGACCUGGAAGAAAGGAUGUAGAGGAAGAAUCGAUUUCAGAUAGGUAAUGUGAAGGAUGGUUGAAGAAGAUGAAGUUUCGAUUAUGGAGAAGAAUGGAUGAAGAAGAGCGAAUGAAGAAGAAAGGUUGAAGAAUUGGGGGUUUUUAAGGUUGGAGAUUUUUACCGUUGGAACUCUCACGUGCCAAUCCUUUAUCUAUUAUUUUUUUUAAUUCAAGUAAUACAUAGGUGGCAUUUUUAUUUUAAAAAAAAUGGCAAAAUACACAUGUGGCGUGCCAACACCAUUAAUGAAGUGCCACCUCCGUGUUGAUCUGGUCAAAAUUGACCAAAAUGUCACUUUUUCAAAGGGGCUAAAACACGGGGGGAGGGGGGGCAAAAUUUUGAUUUUUUUUUUAAUAGGGGGACAAAAUCGCAACAUUGACAAUGUUAGGGGGGACAAAAUCUGCUCCUUUCCGUCCCUUUGGUUUCGAUAAGAGUGGUUAAGUACCAUAUUGAGUGGUUUUAAUCGAGCGAUUAAGCCAUAUCUUUUAGGUGUAUAUACUCGAACAAUUACAUAUUGUGCAAUACGUGAUUGAAUAGUGAUAUGAGCUGUUUUAUUCUGGAGGCGACGCGGUUGUUAGUCUACAUUGCACAAACUUGGGUAGUGCCGCGAAACGUCUUAAAGAGAGCGACCUGGUCGUGACUCAACCUGAUAAUUUAUUCGGUACUAGUUUCUGAUUUGUAAUCUCAACAAAUAUCUCAUGAGCUAUAUUCUUCGGUAGUAGGCUUCAGUUUAUGUCCAACAAUAUAAAUAGGGGGAUUCGAAGAAUCCUAACCGUUGCUUACUUUUCUGUAACCAAAACAGGUAACUUGCUAUGUUGCAAACAGAUAAACAUUGCAAUCUCUAACCUUUAAACUCUUUUAUUUUAUAUCGUCACCUUAAAAUAAGUAACGUGAAUUGUUAGGACGAAAUGACAAUCCAUGUGGAUACGAUACUGUACUUAUCACUUUAUUACUUGGUAAACGAUUUGGUACACUUGCAUAAUCCGCACAUCAAUAAUCUUUGUUUGUUAGAAGUUUCUUGCUUGUAUGCUUGAGCAUUGAAAGUCUCUUGCUUGUGUGGCUGAGCAAUUGUAAUCUUGUAUGAUUAUAGUAAAAAAUCUCUUGUAAGUGACAAGGGUAUUAAACUACUUCGGGAUUGAUACCUUGAAACGCUUACCAGAAGGCCAUCGACAUAUAAAUAGACUUUACACAUCUUGUGCUCCAAUGUGUACCUUUAAUAUAAGUCAUUUUGCCUAUUAAAAAAGCAAAGAUGAAUUGAUUUAAAAGUUAACAAACCCAAGUCACACCUCAUCAAGGAACAAAAAGUCAGCAUUUACUUAGCAUUCAUAUAUCAAGACUUUUGGGUUAGGUUAGGCAAUUGUACCACAUCAGGAACAUUUAGAAGAGGCCAAAAAAUAAGGUUAAUUAAAUAAUGCAAAGGCUCUAAUUCGAACUACUUUGACUCUUUGUGUGGAUUUUAGGUAUGUUUGGUGGGUAACCUAUAUCAUUCAAUCAUUCCCAUCAUAUCAUAUAAUUAAAUAAAUCCCACUUAAUAAAAUUGAGAAUCAUGUUCAUGAUCAAGUUGGUGUAUGCUUAGAACAGUCUCAUGGUAUAAUUAAUUUGUCCCUACUGAACAAAAUCAUAAUUUAGAAACAUUCAUAAAUUAUAAAUAAUAAUACAAUCUUAGUCAUUUAUUAAUCAUAUCCUCAAUUUUGACCUGCAAUAGGAGCUAGCACACAGCUAGCGCAGAAAUAUAUUUUUUCCAAAUUCAUGUCUGUUACUUAUAGUUGUCAAAAAAAAAAAAAAUGUCUAUUACUUAUAGAGACAGAUCAAUUAUUUAUUUUUUACAAGGACAAAAUUCAUACUUAAAAUUAUAAGACUAAAAGUAUAUAAAAUACUUUAAUUAGAGUCUAUCAUUGACUAAGGUAAAGGUUAGAGUUUUUACAGGUAGAACAUUCCAUCAACUGUGGUUUACCCUCGACUUCUUUUUUAUUUAUUUAUUGAUUAUAACUUUUUAAUAUAAAAACAACCAUAUUUUUUAAAUACAAAUAACUAUAAUCAGUUUUCUUAUUUAUUUGCAGCUUAAUUCAGUUGGUUUGAAUAAUGCAUAAUAUAUGCAAGGUCCGUGGUUCAAAUCCCGGCCACCACAAAAAAAAAUGUAUUGUAAAAAAAAUGUAUAAUAUAUAUAUAUAGACACACACUAUAUCUUUUUCAACUUUUUUGGGCUGACUUUUUCUAUUUCUAAAAAUGUCUUCAAUUUUCAAUACAAAAACACAUGUAACAAAUAGAUAAGAACAAACGUAAAUAUUAAAAAAAUGUAACAAACUCGAUAUGAAUAUAUAUAUAUGUGUGUGUGUGUGUGUCUGGUUUUUUCCUUUAUCAUUUAAAAAGUGUAACAAAUAGAUGAGUAUAUUUAUACUUACUUUUUCAUUAUCUCAAUUAUAUCUUUAAACAAUUUUUUUUUCUAUAAUAAAGAUUGUUGUUUUUAUCAUUAAAAAAAAAUUAGAUUAUAUUUUUUUUGUUAUAUUGUUGGUGUCAUUGAAAUAGAUAAUCAUUGUUAGUUUGAUUUGUUAUAACUUAAAGCAACAAACAUUUAUGUUUUGUUAGAAUAAAAAUCAAAAUUUAUUAAAAAAAACAUGCGUUCAUAAAUUGCAAUAAAAAGAAGGGAAAUAGAUGAGUUUGAACAGACUUUUUCAUUACUUGUUUUAACCUUCAUUUAAAAUAUUUUAUUUACAAUUUUAUCAUUUAAUAAUAUUAUUUUAAAUUUUAAUCAAAAAAUUGAAUCCUAUUAAAAUAGGAAAUAUGCCACUACAAUAGAAACAAUAUUAUCAAUAUUAUAUAAGAAGAGGAUAGAUAUUUUGAGCUGAAUUUUUAUAAUUCCAAUUAUAUUCUUAAACAAAUUUUCUUAUAUUAAUGUUAUAUUGUUGGUGGUAUUAAAAAAUAGUAUUUAUGUUAUAUUUGUUAAAUUAUUAUUAUUAUUGAAAAAGAUAACAUGUUUUUCUGAGUUUAUACUUAUAAUUUUGUUACAUACUCUCGUUUCUUGUUUUUUUUUAUUAAAUAUAUAUAAACAACGGAAGUGACCCUUCCCGUAUAAGAUGUGUUAAGGAAGGUCAACUAGAGUUUGUACAAAGACAGCAAAGCCAAAAACAUAGGAGAACUGCCGCAAAACACGAAAGAUAUAAUAAAUAAGGGUUGUUUUUUCUUUCUUUAAAAAAAAAACAAAAAGAAAUAAGGGUAGUGUUAACUUGUGCUUUUAAGACACAAGUUAAGAAUUUAAAAAUGGAAUUAAAUCAUAAAUUAUGUCUUGAAAAGAUAAGAUUUUGAAUUUCUAGAAUAUUGAAUGCACAAUUUUCAACAAAAUAUUUCUAUUUUUAGUUUCUUAACUUGUGCCUUGAGUACAAAAAUUAACAUUUCCUUGCAAAUAAAUGCCCAAACAAAAUAAAUGUAAGUAUACUCUCGUUUCUAGUUUGUUUAAUAUCUAUUUCUAUCAAGUAUAUAUUUGUAUACUUUAUGCUACAAUCCAUCAAUGGAUAUCAUAUAUACAUUCACCUGUUUAUUUUAUAAAGAUUAUGGAACAAUUAUAAACACAAGGAAAAAGUAGAAAACAGCGAGAGAAAGAAAGAGAGAACACAAAAUAAUUUGUUUACCCAGUUCGGUUCAAAUUGACCUAGUCCGAGGCAGAGAGCAGCCCUCCGUUCCACUAUAAUGAUGAGUAACUUUACAAAAGAGAUAUCAAUGAGUUACAAGAAUAAGUCUCCAAACCUAAUUGUACCCAAAGUCUCAAUCUCUUCCCGUGAACAAGAGACUCAAUCCUAAUAGUGUUUCCCAAGGUGAAUCAACAACAACCCUAGUUUCUCCCGCUUAGAGAAAUCUCUCUAAAACCUUGGUUUGUUGUCUGUUUCUAAACCCUUGUUUUCAGCCCCUUCUAUCUCAAGGUUUACAUGUGAUACAAGGUUUAUAUUUAUAGUAAAAGUAAUCGCUAAAAAAUUGGAACAAAUCUCACGCUGAAAAGUACAUUUUAUUUUUAUGCAUCAGUGUAAAAUCGUACUACGAUUUUCCAAAUCGUAUUUCGAUUUUUCCAAAAUGGAAGUGCCAAAUCUGAUCCAAAAAUCGUACUACGAUUUUCCAAAUCAUGCUACAAAUUUGACAGCUUCCAGAUUUUAAUUUUGAGUCACUUUUACAACAAAGACCUUAAAGUUUGUGGUAUUAUAUACUUAAUAUAAUACUCCCAUGGCAACCUGAUUAGCUCCCUUGUUAUUAGAAAGUUACACGCAAUUUCAGGGUUUGGUUGUAUUAUAUCCUGUCCAGCUAAGUUGUAACAUACUCAAAUUUCCAAAUAAAAAUUCGUUAUUCAACAAAUUUGAAAAUGAUGCAGUGAUAAUGACAUAUAAUCAUCUAACACAUGUAAUCAUAUAACCAGUUUGGCUAGGUGAUACUUAUGGUAGUUGGACAAAAAAAAUAUCACAUGUCAAAUGUGUGUACAUUUAAGAUUGAUAAGUCAUUGAAUGAGAAACUUAGCCACUUGUUGUACAUACAAAUAUUUGUACAACUUUUAGAUAAUUUUCUAUUUUAUAUUCACAUUAUAUUUUUACUCUUUUUUUUUCUUUUUUUUCUUUAUUGUUUUUUAUCAAUAAAAAUAGAGAAAAUGAAAAUUAUCAAAAAUAUUGUAUCAAAUGGUUGUUCAAAUAUUAUUGCUCAAAAUAUACAAUAUGAUAUAAUUUUCCAGGAUCGAAAGAUCUAAAUAUGUUCCUUUCCCACAUAAUUAAUUAUUACACCUGUCUUUAAAUAUAAUAUCUUUUUUUUUUUUAAUUUUUAGUAGUUCUCAUGUCUUUGUUAUACGACCGUUAAUUUGUAUAAUUUUAUUUCCAUUAAUUUAUAUUUUUUUUAAUUAAAUCAAAGGUGCAUCUAAUAUACUUUUUUUUUAAGAGGCUAAAAUGAAAUACAUUACCAAAACAAGAUAUUUUUCCUAGCACAAGAUGUACAAAGGAAGAACAAUAGAGUCAAUAGAAUAUGUACAAUCAAGCAGAAAGAAAGCACCAGAGACCUAUAAGCAUGAAACAGAACUAAGUAGUGCCCAAAAUAACUAAUGGACUAAGCAACAAACCAUGAAAAUUAAACGAAAGAGAGACAAGUUUCGCCUUCAACCACGUAAAGGAAAGAACCUUAAUCUAAUAUAACUUCUUAAAAAUAGUUAAAGAGUUGAACAUUACCACCUUAAAGAGUAUGAACAAACUUUUUAAAUAUGGUUAAACAGGAUGAAUGUCACGUAUUUACAGUACAUAUAUCUUUGGUUUUUAUAUGUGUUUAGUCUCUGUAUAUGGGGUCAUUUAAAAAAUUAAUCAUUUAAAAUGGUCUCUACAUUCCUUCAUUAUGACAUUUUGCCCUCCCAAAAAUUAAUCAUUAAAAAUUUGGUCCCCCCUACUCAAUCACUGUCACGUCACUGGAUUAGCUGACGUGGUACAUUGACUCAGCAAAGUUUGAUGUGAAGUGACAAAAAUAGCCCUAACACUCUGUUUGGUAUGAGAGAAUUACAGCAGAGAGAGAUAUUGAAGAGAGAAAGAGAAGAGAAAUAUGGUAUUUCUCUUGUUUGGCAAAGGCAAGAAAGAGGGAGGAGAGAUAAGUUUUGCGUGGGAUCCACGUGUUUUUUGUUCGCCCCUAUAAACGAAGAAAGAAGAAAGAGGAGAGAAAUAUACAUUUACUCCCUUUGCCUUUUAUACCCUUCAAUUUAAGACACAACACACCUUUUUUUUUUCUCAUUACUUUGUUUUUAUUCUUAAUAGGCUUAUCUAAAAAUUAUUUCAAGGACAUUUGUACUUUAAAAAAAAAAAAAUUGAAGAAGCUAAACUAACCCCCUCAAAUUGGCACUAGAGAGAAUCGAACUUGAAACCUUGAGGAGGAGCACACUCCCAGGUCCCAAGCCAAUACCACUAGGCCAACCCAAGUGGGUUUGUACUUUUAAAAAUUAAUCACACUUCUCUCUCUUCUAUUUCUCUUAAUUUUAACCAAACAAUACCUUAAAUCUAUUCUAUUUUUCAUUUUUUUCUCUCUUCUCAUACUCUCUCUCACCUAUUUCUCUCUUCUCAAUUUCUUCUUUCAACCAAACACACCCUAAGUAAUUUCGCUGCCCUCUUAUGGAAGGAGGGGCAUUUACUUUACAAGUAAAUAAAGUAUCUUUUUUAAUUUAAAAUUUCCUCUUUAUGGUUUUCUUAACUAAUGUCCUGGGUAGGGCUAGACAAGGACCCGCGACCCGGCCCAACCCGAAAAAACCGAAGAAAAAAAACCGAGCUGAGUGGGUUAAAGCAGGUCCGCGGGUCAAACGUGUCAUAAAUGCGGGUUCACAAGGGUAUACAUGGGCAGAGGCGGGUAACGGACCUUCACCUGCGGGUACCCGAACCCGCCAGUAUUGGAUAAGUAAAAACGACGUCGUUUUGAAGAGUGGGGAGACCACUAACCCUAGAUCUAACCCAUUCAUUUCAUUUCUUCUAAAAAAUUCUCUCAUUCACCUCACACUCUUUCACCUUCCUCUUCAAACCCUAGUGCCGCCGCCGCAUCUAACCACCACCACCACACCAUCAAAUCCUCCUACCAACAUGAAUCACCACUUUCCAACUUGAUUCCCUUUGUUUUACGCCGUUCUCUGUCAAUCCACGCAGAAAAAUGGAGGCAGAUCCUGAAACUCUCUCUCACUCUCAGUAGCUAACACCACUGUAGAACCGUAAAUCGCCGUCGUUUUUGUUUCAUGAAUCACGUCUCUGCUCUGCAUAUGCUUCAGAUCUAAAGGUUAGAUAUUUUGUUUUUAAUCUUUGUAAUUUUUUAUUUUUAUUUAGGGUUUAUGAGUGUCUCACCACAUGCUUUUGUUUUUGUUUGAUGAUUCACAUCCAUGCUCCGCGUAUGCUUCAAAUCUGAAGGUUGGUUUUUGUUACAUUUUUCAUAUUUUGUGCUUUGAUUUUUUCAAUUCUUGCUUCUAACAUUUUUUUUUUGUUUCAAUCUCAUCUCUGCUGCUUAUGCAUUUGCUGAAGAUUUUUUUUUUGUUUCAAUCUCAUUUUCUCAGACCGGCUUAGGAAACUUCCAUAUCACUGAAUAUUUUUCCAGAUCCGAGAGGUAAUCUUCCUUCUUGACAUCUAGAUCUGAGAGGUAAUGAUUUAUCUUAAUAUAUUUAGUUUUGUAUUUGUUGAGUUUAUCUAUGUCUUUGAUGUAUAUUUUGUUGAGUUUAUGCAUGAUUAUUAAUGUCUAUAGCUUCUGACUUGAUUAUGUUUAUGCAUACUUUGUUGAUUCUUAUACUUCUUCCUUGGAGUUCAUUUUUUCUUUGUUUCUUUCUUAUCCUAAUGGUUUGUUGUUUAUCUAUUUAUUUUGUUUGUAGUAUUCUAAUGGUCCAUUAAUUAUCUUGUUUGUAUAGACACAUGAAAACUGAUACUGCUAGUGUGAAUCCUUUGGCUCAAAUUCCAAUUCUAGUGCAAGGCCAAGGACCUGAACAUGCUAAGGUAGUGCUAAAACUAAAGAAAAGAAAACCUGCUAGACCUCCUUCAAUGGUUUGGAGACAUUUUAUGAAGAAAAAAGACACUGCCUUUUGUAACUAUUGCUUCACUUCUUUUGUUUCAAAUGCUUCCAACCAUCGAACUAACAACAUGCUUAAACACAUGAUGAUUUGUCCAAAAACAUGAAGGUAGUUUUUUUAUUACUCUGAGUUAUGUUGAUUUAGUAAUUUUAUUGUAACUUUGUAUUUGAUUUAGUCUAUUUUAACUCUAUUUUGGUAGAUGUCUUUGAUGUUAGUUUGCUAGUGUUAUAUUUUGUGGCUUUGAUUUAUUAGUACUAAUGUAUAUUUUUUAUAUUGUUUUUCACAGGUUAACAAUAUUCUUACUUGCUAUGAUGGUAUCUCUUGAUCUAUUGUGAAUCAAGAUAUACCAAGGAGGUGUUAUUUUUUGUUAUUCAGAUCCAGUUUUAGUAUUAUUAUAUUCAAGACCACUAUAUUUAGUUUUUUAUUUAUUAAGGAUAUGUAAAUUGUUAAACUUAUUUUUAUUGGUUGUGUAAGUUAAAUUAAGGCUCGAUAUCAAAUGGGAAAAUGAGACAUCAUCAUCCCCCUUUAACAAGCUUCUUAAAGGAAAAAAUUUAACAAAAUUAUGACAAUAUGAUCUAAGUUAAAUAAACAUACAAAAUGGUUUAAUACAAGAGAAAAUGAAACACUACAAAAUUUGUUGGGGCAGAAAUUCUAAAUGGCACAUUAAAAAUGAACAUAAAAAAUGGUCCAUUACAGUGAAAUUAAAAAUAAAUCGCAACAAAAUUAAUUGGGCCAGAAAUGGUUGAAUGACCCAUUAAUUGGUCCAACCCGUUUGAACCCAACCGUUUAACCCGUAACCCGAUUCACCCGAACCCAACCAAUCCGACUCCAUUAUUUGGGUAGAAAUGGGUGUGUAUUCUACACCCGCAGGUUGGGCUGGAGUAGAGGUUUGGACCCGAACCCGCCCGAUGUCCACCCCUAGUCCCGGGGCACUGGUUAACAUAAACCUAAAACAAAAAUAGAAAAUAAUGACCUAAGUUUUCUAAUAAUUGAUAUUUUAUUAGCUUAAAACUUUUGUUAUAUCGAUCAUUCCUUUCCACUCUUUGUUCUUGGUUGUGUUUUAAUGAAAAAAAAGAAGUAAAAAUGAACCUUCUAUGAGAGCAAGGAAAAAAUUACUGGUUAAGCCUUAUGACCUUGCACCAACUCUAAGGACAUUAAUUAUGUUAUAUAGCAAGAUAUCCUCUCAUAAAUUGGUGAAAUUGGAAUUCCUAAAGUUUAGUUUCCCUAUAUUAGACGAUCAUAUAUCAAGACAUGGAUAUUAUUUUGCUAACUUUGAAAACAGCAUACAAACCAAAAUAGUACGUAUUAAAAUAAGAGCACCGUCAACAUUUUCUAGCUAAUAAGCUAACUUACUUUAUUCUUUUGUUUACAUUUCAUUUCAAAUUCAUGCCCAACUUGGGACGCAUUGGUCCAAAAAGCAUACUCAUUUAUUCAAUGGGAAAAACUUUUUUUAAUGGGUCUUGCUGACCAUUGCUCGAUGGCAAUGGUUAAGGAAGGCAAAAGUAGCAUGUUUGUAUUGAUUUCAACAACAUUUUGACUUUUAAAAAAUUAAAUUUAUCACUUUUCACCAUUUACCAAUGCUAUAUUUCUAUUUUUAUCCACUUAUCCAAUGCGCCAAACGCAAUGAUUAGCGUUCUCAUUUUUUAAUAAUAGCUGCAAUGUUACAUAAUCGUUUUCACAUCUGUAUACUUAGUUUGUCUUAAAAAGACAGUCACAUUGAAUAUUUAAUUAAAAUUUUAUUUUUAUUCAAUUAUACACUAUAAUUGAUAUUAAGCGCCAUUAAAAAAAUUAUUAAGUGGAUAACAAAUUAUUAUUCACUAUAAUUUUACUAUAAUUAUUAUUCUUCACUUUGAAUUACCAAGGUAAUUUAAUAAAAUUAAUAUUCUAUGUGACGUAUUUGUAAUUACUUCCUAAUUCACGUGAAAUGAUUUACUUUGCUAGUUAUUAGAAUUUUAAUUUAUUAUAAUAUUUUUCUUUUUGCUGUUGGAUAAUAGGUGAAUUAUAAAAUGUGUCAAAUCAUAGUACACCAACCAAGAUGAAUUGUUGAGGUAAAAUGGAUAAAGAAAAAACUAUAUAAAGGGUACUACUAUCUUUCAUAAGAGCAACAACAAAACACACUUUAGGAAAAUAUGAGGUUCCAAAUGGCCUCCAUUACUCUUACUAUUGCAUUCACGAUAAUCUCUCUUAGCCUGCCAUCCCAAAUUUCAGCAAACAAUUACGUCUAUUCAUCUCCACCACCACCAUCUAAGCCAUACAAAUACGCUUCCCCACCACCACCAGUUUACAAGUAUAAAUCACCACCCCCACCUGUCUACUCACCACCUCCACCUGUCUACUCACCACCACCACCAGUUUACAAGUACAAGUCACCCCCUCCACCUGUCUACUCACCACCUCCACCAGUUUACAAGUACAAGUCCCCACCUCCACCCGUCUACUCACCACCUCCCCCGGUUUAUAAGUACAAGUCACCACCUCCUCCCGUCUAUUCACCACCUCCACCAGUUUACAAGUAUAAGUCUCCUCCUCCUCCUGCAUACUCACCACCUCCACCACAUUAUAUCUACUCUUCACCACCUCCUCCUUACCACCACUAAAUGGUGGUUUACGAUAGUAUCCCACGGUAUACUUCUUAUUACAUACAACCCACACAAAAUACUUUUAUAUAAUUCAAUUACAGUGGUUAUAAUAUUAAUCUGAUAAAUAUCUAGUUAGACAUAGCUUCAAAUAAAAAAAUAUUUGGUAACACAUAUAAAUGAUAAAAUUUAGCAGAUAAAAAUUUAAUGAUAUCAUUUAAUAUCUUUUCUUCUUAAAAUUUUAUCAUUUAUGUGUGCACGCCCAAAUAAAGUGUCGUGGCUUUUGAAAAGUUUCUUAUAAACCUUGUGGAAAUAGGUUUAAAUGUGAAAUUACAUAUACUUUUUAAAGUUUUAAUUUAAAAAAUUCGAUUGUUCAAUCUUUUAAAAUAUUAUUAUUGGCAAUUUGAAACAAUAAAGUUGAGACCUGAUGCAGAAGGUGAGUGCAUGAGGUCAACCACUAUAGAUUAUGAUCAUAUUAUAGAACUUAGCUAGAAAAGAAAAAAUAUAGUUAUAUGCUUCUUAUUAAUUUUGUUUGAUUUAAAAUUUCAAGCGAUUAAUAAUCCUAAUAAACAGUUUUAGCUAGAUUGAAUAAUGUUUAAGGCAAAACCAUUUUCUUAAUGAAAGAUAUUGAUAUAUUUAUGUGUGCAUAUACUUUGCAGGGUUUGAGGAAUAUAAUUGAAAUAAAGAGAAGACAGUGCAAAGCAGGAAAGAUGUCACUCUGAUUCAGAAAAUGUCACUCUAUUAUUUUUCAUUUGUUUGUUUUAUGAGAUUAUAUUCUCAUUAUUGUGCUUGAUGUUUGAAUUUAUACUGUUGUAAAGCACUCUGUGUAAUAUUAUUCAAAUAAAUAGAGAACGAUUCUGAAAUUUGUCAUAUUGUAAAGAAUUGGAUAUACCUAAUAUUUGAAUGCAUUUUCGAUCCCUUAACUUUUAAAAAAUUGUGAUUUAUAGAAAUAUAGUCUUUUAACCCUUUAUUUUUAGUAAAAUAUGUUCUUUUGUCCCUCUAUCUUUAGGGAAAUAUGCUAUUUUGAUUUCUUAUUUUUACAAAAAGUAGUAAUUUUGCUUGCUGUUUUAGAACACGUGGUAUCUUCUCAACAGUUUUGCUGCAUUUUGUAAAUUAAAGGUAAAAUAAUUUUUUUUUUUAUUAGAGGAUCAAAAUCGCAACUUUUUAAAAGUUAAAUCAUCAAAAAUACAUUUAAGCCUAUACAUAAUACAUUAUAUGCAAACUUCAAAAACUAUCUAAUUUGAUGGCGGUAUAUGUCAAUCACUUUAUAUCCUAAUCAUCCUCUAUUUCAUGUUGGAUCUGUCUAACUUUUUGAUGAUAUGGAUAGUGGGUCCAAUCAAGGUGAUUCAAUAUCCAACGGAAACGUCUAAACACGUUUUGACUUCCAACAUAAGGCAUUGCCCCUAACUUCGGUUAACAAUAUUGGGUUUCAGUAAUAACAAAGAGACGGCUAGAGUUGUUUAAUAAUAUUUUAAUAGCAUUACGUUACAAAAGGUUAUUGGAGAAUGUAUAUAUAAAAUCUAAUAAACAACUAAAUUAGUAAUAUAAAUAUCCAAUAGUUUAAACUCAAUCCUUUAUUAUCUAAUUUCUUUUCUCAAAUUCACGACUCAUCAACAAGAAGAAUUAUGAGUUUGUCAAAUCAAAUAGGAGGACGAACGAAGCGGAAGCUGGUGGGCAUGUAACGUCUGAGGCUAACGAGGAUUGAGAGUGGUCGCUGGUGCACAAGUUAAGAGGAUGAGCUGCUCCUGACAUCUUCUAGUCAAACCGAAUCACAUUGGAAUGAGAGGAAUCCUGAGACCGUGCAGAUAUGAACUGCAUGAUUGAAGAAAGACUUAUAAAUUUUUUUGGCACUAUCUAUAUCAACAAGAUGCAUCUUCUUUUUUAUAAUUCAUUCCAUAAGAACUCCACAGUUAAGCAUGUUUGACAUGGAGCAAUUUUAGGAUGGAUGACCUUUUAGAAAGUUUUCCAGAAAACGUGUGAGUUUGGACAAAACACACUGAAAAGACUCAUGUUGGUUUUGGGGUCAGUCGGUCAGCAAUACUUAAAAUCGCCUCAAUAUUAUAAGAAACAUAAUAAAUAAUAUAAAGUUCUAACACUGCCCCUCAAAUGAAAGAUGGAAUGAUAUUGAAGUGAAAACUCGCGCUAUAUUGAGUGAAAUUUUAUAAACUUUCAGUCUUUAUUUCUGUCAAUGUUAGUUUUUUUGGUCAUCUAACUCAAAUUUGAAAAUUUUCCUGUUAUCUUGAACAGUUUCUAGUUCACUUUGUUAAGUUACUACAACUAAUAAAAAUACACUGAAUUUUCAAUCUAGAGACAUAAUUCAGUUUAUUUUGAUGAGUAGCAAAUUUUUAUUCUUUUUGAAAUCAUAAAAUCCUGAUCCUUCACUUUUACUCAAAUUAUAUAUGUCCGUUGUCUUAAGAUAGAUGGACAUUUAUAUGAAAGUCUUGGUUUGAUUCAAGUUGAGUAAAAUAUGGUCAAAUUUGGGGAUUAAAAAUACAUAGUAUUUAUAUUUUGCUUAUGUCAUAUAAGCUGCUAUGAUCUAUUUCCUCUCACUUUUAUAGGUCUUGGUGUUGAAUAAGAAACUAAGAUUUUAAAUUGUAGUUGAUUCGCGGAAUGAGCAAAGUGAUCCUAGUGAGCUAGUUUCAAAGGGUUGUGAACUACAAAGUUUGAUGGGCGAACCAGAGGUGAGGUCAAAGAAAGGAAUUGAAGAGGGUUUCAUGGAAGAAGCAAGUGAACAUUCGAUAGGCAAACAACAUUUCUCCUAGCCAAGUAAGGCGGUGUUAGUGACCCUUUGUGUUGUGAAUUCGAUGAAAAAUCACACCAAUAACAACUUGAUGUGUGGAGCAAGGGAUAAUUAAGCAACCAAAAUCAAAGCGUAUGAAAGUUAUAAAUACAAGCCAAAAGUAGAAAACAACGGCGAGAAGAACACAAAGAAGAAGAAGAACACAAAGAAACUUGUUGACCCAGUUCGGUCCAAUCUGACCUAGUCUGGGGGAGAGAGCAGCCCUCCAAUCCACUAUAUGAUGAGUUUCGUUACAAAGAGAAAUCAAUGGGUUACAAGAAUAAGUCUCCCGAUUAAUUCUACUCAAAGUCCCAAUCUCUUCCCGUAACCAAGAGACUCCAAUCCUAAUAGUGUUUCCCAAGGUGAAUCAACCCACAAACCCUAGUGUUUGCUCCUAAGAGACAAACUCUAUACAAACCCUAGUUUUGUUGUUGCUUUUCUAAACCCUUGUUUCAGCCCCCUCUAUCUCAAAGUUUGCUUUGAUACAAGGUCUAUAUUUAUAGUAAAAGUAUAACUCAUAAAUUUGGAACAAAUACCACACUGAAGAUUCGUUUUUUUUUUCUCCUUCAGUGAAAGAAUAUUUGCAUCAAAAAUAUAAUAUUCCCUUUCAAAAUAUAUUUGCAUCAAAUCGUUCUUCAUACGAUACAAAAAUAUAUUUAUUGUCCAUAAAUAUAUUUUCAGCACAAUAUAUAUUUGAAACAAAUCUUUUAUAUUUUUAGCAACAAUAUUCUCCAUCCAUCAAUUUUUGAGUCAUACUACAACACUUUGGAUGAGCUCGCUUUUCCCUCCACCUGAAGAAACUUAAGAUCGCUAGACGAGCAAAUUUUUCUAGGAAAAUAUGCACUUUUUUUACUUAUAUAUAAAUAGAUGUAAUACACAAUUCAGAGAUAUCUUACGCAUCUUAAACUUGUUGUUAGAGAGAACGGAGAGGAGAACAUAGAUUCAUCAUUGCAGAAUUUAUCAAUUCUUUUAUUUCAGGCUCUAGGUGCUUGUUUCAAACCAUAUAAGGCUUUGCUCAAUCUGAACACUCUAUCUUUCGUCCCUUUGAUUGUGAAACUAGGUGGUUGAGUGACAUACACAGUCUCUUCUAAUGUACCAUUCAGAAAUGCAAACUUUACUAGUUGCUAAUACUAUAACCAAUCUGAUAGUUUCAUGUCUUGCAUCUGGUGAGAAAACUUUAGUGUAAUCAAAACCUUCCUUCUAAAUAAACCUCUAGCCAAAAGCCUUGCUUCGUGAUUCACAAUCUUCCCUUCUUGAUUAAAUUUUAACUUGAAAACCAAUUUUAUAUCUAUUGCCUUUUUUCCAUCUCGAAGCUUUAUCAGUUCACAAGUCUGACUCUUCUCAAUAGAUUUUAGUUCACCUAUCAUAGCUUCCUUUAAUGCCUUAUCACAUAGUGCAGCUAUGUAAUCUAAUGGCUCGAUGUCUGCUAGCAUUGCAAAAUGCACCAAUUAACCAUCACUAGUUCAUCAUCACCAGUUACCUGACAGUCUUCUGAACUUCUUGGAAUUUGUCUGUUUCUUUGUGGUCUGGCUAUAGUGGUUGACUCUUCAUCUAUGAUUUCUUCAUCAUUAGCAACUUCAUUUAUGGUGAGCUCAUCAGAUUCUCUAUUAUCUUCAAUGAUAACCUCCUUCUCAGAGACACUGCACUUAUUUGCAGUACAAUCCCAAUAUUCAUCUAUUUAAGAUGAAUAUUGGGAUUACACUAAAGUUUUCAGGGAUAUGCUUAUAGCAUAUUGAGCCAAAUACCUUCAAAUGACUGACAUAUGGUUUUCUACCUGACCAAACCUCUUCAGGCACUUGAUUCUUCAAUUUCUUAGUGGGACAUCUAUUUAAGAUGUAAGCUGCAAUAUUCCCUACUUUACCCCAAAAUUCAUGAGGUAGCUUCUUCUCUAUCAGCAUAAUCCUAGCCAUAUCAAGUAAACUCUUAUUCCUCCUUUCAGCAAUACCAUUGCGUUGAGGAGUGUAAGGAGUUGUCACUUCAUGAACUAUACCCUGACUUGUGCAGUAAGAUUCAAAAUAUCUAGAAGUAUAUUCACCACCUCCAUCUGUUCUGAGAAUAUUCACCACCUUCAAAUCUUACAAAGAAUAUGAGAUGGUAGAAUUAUGAGAAUUUUCUCCAUGAUUGCUUUAUCAGAAAGAGUCUCACAACAUAGCUUCAUCUGAUUUGUGAUUGUUUGAAUUGAUUAGAAAUAUUCCUCUAUGUUCUUUUCUUUCUUCAUCUUCAGCAAUUCAUAUUGUCUUCUCAAUGAUUGCAAUCUUAUCUUCUUCACCUUAUCAUCCCCACUGAAGUAUUUCACAAGUGUAUCCCAAGCUUCCUUAAAGCUUUUUGCAUAUGCAAUCUUUUCAAAUACCUUGUUAUCCACGCAUUGAUGAAUAUAAAAGAGAGUCUUGAAAUCUUUCUUGUUCUUGGCUUCUUUAUGCGCAUUCCUUUGAAUUUAUGUGGGAUUUGCAGGAAGUGCUUCAACUUCAUUGUUGACAAUCUCAAGAACAUCUUGAAACCCAAAGAUCACCUUCAUCUGUUUCACCCAUCUUUGCCAAUUCUUCCCAUCAAGAACUGGUAAAUGUGCAGAGAUGUUUCCAUUGGAAUUCAUGGUUAACUCUCUUCUUCUUGGAUCAAAAAAUGAUUAUGCUCUGGAUACCAAUUUGUUGGUGAACAAAUUGAUCUAGGGUUUAUGUGUUUUGUGUGAUUGAAGGAUAAGAAACAGUUUUAGAGAAUGAAAAAGAGAGAAAGAGAUUGGAGAAUUAAAACUGAAUGCAUUGGCUUUAUUAAAUGAGGAACCAAGUAUAUAUACAACAUGUUCUAGCUAUAGCUUGCAUUACAAGUAAAUGCUAAUUGUCUAACUAACUUUCUAAAAACAAGGUAAAGUAGUUACUUAGGUAGCAAGGUAACUAACCCUAAAUCAAACUAUGAGUUUUGAAUUACAAAUUCAACACUCACAAGGGCAUGGUGGCGGAAACUCUAACCCUAGGAGAGCAAGAAAUUUCUUGAGAGGUUUUGAUUUUGUCUAAAAAAAUUUAUAUAAUCUCUUGGAUGUUGAACUCUAGGACGUUACAUAUCUUAUUUACCGAAACCAUUUGAUUAUGAUAUGUGCCAAAAAUAUUUAUAACCAAAUGCAAUAAAGUAAAUACAAAAUAUACAAUAAAUUACACUAGAAAAUAUUCAAUAAAUUACACUACAAGUUAAUAAUAAUGUUAAUUUGCAGACACUAAUAUACGUUUUGUUCCGUUCUGCUUAAUUUGCUCUAUCCAAGAAAAUAAUGAAGUUGAGAUAUAUUCAUAUGAGUGUCUGAUGUGUUGGUCUAUGGUUAUUUAGAUUUUAGACUAUUUUGCAAAGCAUAAGAAAUAAAUAAAAACAAACUAAAAGUCUGAUAUUAUAAAAAUCUGGUUUUUAAAAAAGGCUAAAAGUAUAUUAUUUUAUAAUUUUAUGUUUUAAAGUGUUGGUUGUAAAUACCAAAGUAAGAAAAAACUCAUAAACAUCACAUACAAACCCGCAUAUUUAAACCGCAUAACCUACGAUUAAGCAAUCCACCUUAUGUGAACCAAAACGAAAAUGGUGUGAAACAUAUUGGUCUUUAUCCACCUUGGGCCGCGAGUUAAACUAGUUGGUUUGCAGCCCCGGGCCAUAUUCACAACUCCUAUUUUUGUAUAGUUUUUAUUUGAAACAUUAGAAAAUUAAGCGUCAAACCAACAUAAUAUUGAGAGAGUUGGUAACAUGACUCUUCCUCAUAAAAAAAAAAAAAAUUGAAUUUCAUUCUUAAAAUCGUCUAUUUGAAAUUGAGCGAACUUAACCCGUUCAAAGAUCAUAUGUCUUCCUAUCAAGCUAGGAAGGUACCUUGAAAUGUUGUUAAUUAUAAUUAUGAUUAAGAUAUGCUAGAAGAAAAAAUUGAGGGCCAAGGGCAAACUGGCUCAUUUAAUAGAUAAAUAGACUUUAAAGCAAUUGGUAUACAAAUCCAAGUCACACCUCAGCAAGGAAGUUAAAGUCAGCCUUUAAUUGUUAGCAUUCACAUAUAUAGUAAAGACUUUUGGUUUAAAUUAGGCAAUUGUACCACAUCAAGAACAUUUAGAAGAUGCCAAAAAAUAAGACUAAAUAAUACAAAGGCUUUGAUGAUUCGAACUAUUUUGACUCUUUGUGUAGAUUUUAGGUAUGUUUGGUGGGUAACGUACAACAUUCAAUCAUUCCCAUCAAAUAAUUAAAUGAAUCUCACACUUAAUAUAAAUUUAAGAAUCAUAUCUUGUUCAUGAUCAUAUACAAUCUAUAGUGGUGUAUGCCUAUAAUAGUGUCAUGGUAGGUAUCAUAUUAGCUUUGUCGCUACUGAAGUAAAAUAAUUGUUUGACCUAAAAUAUUACCACUGUCGCUCUGUAAAAAAUAUAAUAUAGAAACAAUAUUCUUGUGAGGUGAGGAUUACCCCCACUUAUAAAUACAUUGUCAGGUCAUGUUCUAUCUGAUAUGGGACGCUUAACAUCUUAGAAAUCGUGGUUUGGGCCUAACACAACAUCACAAAACGGACUUGUGAGGUGAUGAUUGCCCCCACUUAUAAACAUAUUGUCAGACCAUAUCUUAUCCGAUGUGGGACUCUUACGUACACAAAAUUAGCAUAUUACAUAGGCUACAUAAUUUUUUAAUACAUGUAAAAUUAGCAUAUUGCAUACAUCUAGAACUAUGUUUACAUUUCAACAACGUUUAUUUAUUUUCUUACUGCAAGUGACGGAAACAGAAAAAAAAAAAAAAAAAAAAAGUUUAAGUAUAGGAUGCUCUAUUGCGGAUGGUCUUAGUCUUCCCAAGAAUCAUCAUAUUUUUUAUAAUAUCUCCACCAAGUAUGUCUUUAUAUACUUGUGUUAGUACAAUCAAUCAAUGUCGUAAUUUUUUUUUUUCUAACAGUCGACAUUGUCUAUCCAUUUAAAUAUUUUUUUUCAAUACCAAAAAAAAAAAUGAUCUUUCCUAAAAAAGACCUUAAAUUUUUUUUAGAGAAAAUAGCUUAUAGCUUUUCAUUAUUAAUCAAUGUCAAAAUACUAAGAGGUACAUCAUUAAAAACUUGGGAACUAGGUAAGAAUAAAGCCUCUCUAGCAAGAGUAUGAGCGACCUCAUUCGCUUGUCUCCAACUAAACUCCAUCUUAAAGUUUUCAGAAACAUUGUUGUUGCCUUUGGUAAAAUAAUCUACAACUAACUUCGCAUCCAUCUCAAAAUCUACAUUUGUAAGUUGUAGUUCGUGUACCCAUUGAAUUGCAUAGAGUAGACCUAAUACUUCCCCAAUCUCUGGCUUACAUAUGGGAUUAGACCACAUCAUCUUUGCCUUCCUGAAAUUACCAGCAGCAUCCCGUAUACACAGCCCAACACUACUAAAAAAAACAAAAAUUAGUGAGGGAUAUUUAGUGAGGGAAAAUAUGAAAUCCCUCUCUAAUUCCCUCACUAAAUUUUACGACCAAGGAAUUUGUGAGGAAUUUCAUUUUUUCCGUCACUAAUUUCCCUCACUAAUUUUGCUUUUUCUAGCAGUGCAAAACCAACACGAUUUGAAUCUUCCGAAAACGCCGCGUCGAUGUUGCAUUUUAGCUUACCAGCUGCACUACACUUCUGCUUCCUCAUAUUUCCUCAUAGUCUGGCAUGUAAACAAUGUGUUGCUUAAUAUAACAAUUUUCUAUAUAUGGCUGCCAGAUUUGCUCCCCUGGUGAUUAGACAGUAAACAAUAAAAAACGUUACACGCAAUUUCAUGGUUGGUUCAAUAUUUUGUUGUCCAGCUAAGUUAUAACAUAGUUUCAAAAAAGACAAUUUGUUAUUCAAAUUUGAAAAUGAUGCAAUGAUAAAGACAUUUUAUCACCUUAUCAUUAAAAAAACACGUGUAAUAAUCACUUAAACACAUGGACAAAUAAAAUCACGUAAGCAAUCUUGAUAUUAAUUAACGAAGGUUGACUCAGUUUAUAAGAAAUUGAUUCAUCUGUACGCCAUAGAUUCAACAUUUAUUGUCAAUGUAAAUAUCUUUUUUGUAAAUGAUAUGUAAAUACUUCUAUAAACAUUAUUUAAAUCUUGAAAUAUGCCUUAACUAUAAUGAAUUUUUGGAGGGUAACCUAUCAAAAUUUAUUUAUAUAAUAAAUAAAAGGUAAAUAUUUUGGCUAGGAAAAACCAAUGGUAGGAAAAAAAAUUACAUGUUGUGAUGUCAUGGAAGUCGAUGUAUGAGUAAACCUAGCUACUUGCUGGAAAUGAAAUAUGUUAAAGAUCUUACACACUGAAAGGAUCAAAUAUAUGUUCCUUUCGCACGAAUAGUUCUCUCUCUUUCUUUUUUCUUAAAUCAUAGCCGUCACAACUUUUAUUCUUUUUGGUGUACAAAAAGAAUUGAUUUAGGAUCAAUUACGAUCCAUAAUCACCCCUUUAAAUUGUUAUUCUUUCUCUUUUAGCAAAGUAAGUGAUUUUCACAUAAUUUUCUUUCCUUUGUUUUUGUGAUUUUGUCGUAUAACACGAUUUUGUUUAUUUUGAUUUCUCGUAUUUAUGCAGUGUUUUUAAUUGUUAGCUUUCACAUAUAGCAAAAACUUUUGAUUUAAGUUAGGCAAUUGUACUACAUCAAGAACAUUUAGAAGAUGCCAAAAAAUAAGACUACACUAUGCAAAGGCUCUGAUUGGAACUAUCUUGACUCUUUGUCUGGAUUUUAGGCAUGUUUGGUGGGUAACCUACACCAUUCAAUCAUUCCCAUCACAUGAUUAUUAAAUGAAUCCCACUUACUAAAAUUGAGAAUCAUAUUAGCUUUGUCGAUACUGAAGUGAAAUAAUUGUUUGACCUCAAAAAAUAACAUCCGUGUAUAAAAGGAUAACAGAGAAACAUUCAUACACAAAAUUAGCAUAUUACUUUCACUAAAAAAAUUUUAGGCUUAAUACAUGCUUUCGUCCCUUAACUUAUUUUUGAAUUUCAUUUUGGUCCCUUAACUUUAAACCGUCUCAAUUUGUUCUCAUAACUUUGCCUCCGUUUACAGAAGGGACCACUUAGGUAAACGGAGGCAAAGUUAUGGGACCAAAUUGAGACGGUUUAAAGUUAAGGGACCAAAAUGAAAUUAAAAAAUAAGUUAAGGGACCAAAGCAUGUAUUAAGCCUUAAAUAAAUUAUACUAAGAGGAUAUUUGUCAAAGAUACAUAUUUUUAUUGAAGAAAAAAAUAAUAUUACAAAGCAUGAAAAAAGCCCAAUAAAUAAAAUGGUUGAACAGUGUUGGGAAAAAUAUUGCAAGAUAAAAUAAUAAAUAUAUUACAACAUCAACAAAACUCGUAAAAUAGUGUGAGAAUAUAGGAAAUUUUUCCAUGACAAUAUAGGAGGUGAACAAAAUAAAUUAUGUUAAAAUUAAAUUAGAAAGUAAUGAAAACUUUGGUAAAAUAAAAAGUAAUAAAAACAAGCAAAUCUCUAAAAAAAAGUAAUAAAAACAAACAAAUCCCUAAAAAAAACAUAUAAAAUAUUUGGACUAUAAAAUUAAAGUAGAUAUGAAUUAUUUGUUGAGAUGUUUAUGUCAAAUAGAAAAAUGAGUUUUCUAAAAAUAAAACAUAAAUGUUAAUUUCAUUGGAACACCAACAAAAUAAAAAUUCAUAGGGAGGUAGUUCUAUUGCAUCAAAUAGAUCUAUUAUGAGAUAAAAAUAAAUGAACAUCAUAAUAUUAUUUUUAGUAAAUGUAAAUUAAUGUAUCACUCAUUUUUUAUAGAUUAGAAAAAUGAUUUUGACAUUCUAUAAUUUAGAGAUUAUUUUUUAAAGACUUUAUUAAAAAGUAUAAUCAAUUUUGUGUUUAUUUUUCAGAAUAACAAUCACUUCUUUGAAAAAAAAUAUAUGUUAAUUUGAUACAAGGCUUAAUAAAUGCUUUGGUCCCUUAUUUUUGAAUUUCAUUUUGGUCCCUUAACUUUAAACCGUCUCAAUUUGGUCCCAUAACUUUACCUCAGUUUACCUAAGUGGUCCAUUCUGUUAGUUUUUUUAACAGAAGGGACCACUUAGGUAAACGGAGGUAAAAUUAUGGGACCAAAUUGAGACAGUUUAAAGUUAAAGGACCAAAAUGAAAUUCAAAAAUAAGUUAAGGGACUAAAGCAUGUAUUAAGCCAAAAAUUUAUUACGUGUUCUGGAUCGAUCAAAAGAUCAAUCCCAUGUUGACACGUGACCUAAAUUUGCACUGCCUUAAAGCUCCGCGCUUGAAGGAGCAUGCCAAUUUUAGUACACCGCGUCACGUUCAAGCACGCCUCGGCGUGAGGUCACCUUACACGUGUUCUCUAACUGUCUCCUGAUCACAUGCUGCAAAACUCGAAGACAUCUCCACGAGUGCGUGUAUAAGGGUGACUUAACUUCACCCUCAAAGUAUGAUUCACUUUUCACAACACUUUCUACAUACUCUUUCAAAGGAAUAAAAAAAACAUUUGUUACAACUAUUUUUAUUUAAAGAAUCAUAGGUGCGGGAUGAAAUAUUAAAAAGUUAUAAUCACUUAAUAAAAUAGAAAUCGAUCCUCACUGAACCGACGUGGACCACGAUUGAUGACCAUAUAUAGUUGAUGAAACCCAGAGAUGGGGGGUGGUUGUCUCCGCCACUGAUAUAGUAACAAAAUAAAGGUUUAAUUGCACUUUUGGCCCCCUAUGUUUCAAGAAGUUGCGAUUUUGACCCCCUAACUAAUUAAAAUACAAAACAUCAUUGAGCUCAGCCACCUCCCAUCUCUGGGCUUCAUCAACUAUACAUGGUCAUCAAUCUUGAUCCACGUCGGUUCAGCGAGGAUCGAUUUCUAUUUUAUUAAGUGAUUAUAACUUUUUAAUAUUUCAUCCCGCACCUAUGAUUCUUUAAAUAAAAAUAGUUGUAACAAAUGUUUUUUUUAUUCCUAAAUUCAAACCUCUGAACUAACGUACACUAAUCUUUUCCCUCAUGAACAAAUAGUACAAUAAUCCUCAAGAAGAAGCUUCUUAGUCUUCCUAAGGCGUGUUGUAGAAAUUAAAUUAACAAUAAUAUUUUCACUCAAAGCUCGUCAUGUUUUUUAUAAUAUCUCCAUCAAGUAUGUAUUUAUAUACUUAUGUCAGUACAAUCAAAUUCGGUCCUCGUGAGCAUAGCUCAGUUGAUAUGGACAAUGCAUAAUAUAUGUAAGGUUUGAAGUUUAAAUUCCGACAACCACAAAAAAAAGAGUACAAUCAAACUCGAAUCUGACAUCUCAUAAUUGUGAUUGCGUGUAUGUAAAUUUAAAAGGUGGUGAUAUUUGUGAGAUCUUUAUUUUUCUUUCUUUUUAUUGGUUUAAAACAAUAAAGAAAAAAAUGAAGAGAAAGAAUAAGAAUAUAAUGCGAAUAUAAAAGAAAAUUGUUGAAAAAUUGUUACAAAAUAAAUGUUAAAAUAUCAUUUCUUAAAUCUAAAACGUUGCUCGUCACUUUUUCUACAUGUCAAAGUUGAAUCUUGUGAAGAAGUGAUUGUCCCAAAAAUAAUAUUUUAUUAGCAACAGUACUAGCAUCAAAUAUUUGUCAACAAAAAUAAAGUACUAGCAUCAAAUAAACUAACGUGCUACAUAUGAACAUAACCUCAAAUAUUGACUAGCUCCAUGCAUAUACUUUUCCCACGUUAAAAAAAAAGCCUAAUCAAAUUUCUAAUAACAAUUCUAAAAUUACUAUACACUCUUUCCAUAGACAUCAUUAUUGAUGAUUGUGGACAUGACCCCACAAUAUUAAUUUUGGUACAUGCAUAUAGCUCGAGAUACAUUUUUAAGAGAAAUAUAAUUUGUAUGAUAAUUUCACGACAAUUUUUAUGAUAAUUUUUUUUUUCUCACACUCAUGUUGUAUUUUUGUUCUCUCAUUUCAUAUUUCUUUGUCUAUUGCUUUUUUCCUAAAAAAAGAAAAAAAAUGAUUCUCCCAAAAAUACUUGUACAAAUAUCCACUCUUAGAAAAAGUAAAAUUAGGAAGAGAAAUUAGUGACGGAAAACAUUAAAUUUCUCACAAAUUCUUAAAUCGUAAAAUUUAGUGACGGAAUUAGUGAGGGAUUUCACGUUUUCCCUCUUAAAAUUUUCCUCACCGUUUUUUACUUUUAGUAGUGAUCAUUGAUAAAUUUUUAAUUCAUCUAUUGAGGAGGAACUAAAUAACCAUUUGUGUAAAUCUUUUCUUUUUUUAUAUCUAACAGGGUGAUUUAUAAGAAGAAGAGUCUGAACAUUUCGAUGAAGAAAAUCUAUAGAAAAGAAUUAAUUUAGUUAAAAGUGAGCCAACUUGGUUUUACUCCAAAAAAAUAUUCUUUAAAAUUUUUGCUCAUUCAAAAUCUAAAAUUGUUGUUUUCAAACGUAUAAUUUAGCAACUGAUUAUUAAGCAUUAGGAAAAAGCCCAUGCGACAGUAAAAAAUUGGACGCUAACAUGUCAAUUAGCGUCAACCUAGUGUGAGGCUCGUGGUUGACAAUAAAAUGCUUGAAGCUAACCAUUUGUGUCUGCAAUCCUGAAGCAAUUUGUAAGUAAUAUCGUAGACCAAUUUAAAUUUUUUAAGCUAAGCAUUAGCGUCUGCAAUAUCGAGGCUACAUCGCGUGCGCUUAGUGUAGGUCAAUUUAAAUUUUUAAAAUUCUGUAAAAGCAUUGACUAAAGGGGUUGGCCAACAAAAUAAAACAUAUUAGAAAUAAUUAACAAUCCAUUAAAGAUAGAAAAAAAAGUAAAAUAUAUAUACAAAGCAAAGCACAUAUUUGAGACAAGCAUCAAAUGUAAUAAAAAAAAUGCUACUAUGUUAUUUAUCCCAAAAAUAAAAUUAAAACAUCUUACAAUCAUGUGCAACAAACUUCUUUCUAUUGCAAUGGAGUCAACAUGUGUUAAACCAAAUAAACCAAAUAUUUAGAUGAUCUCCUAAAUAUUUUCUCUACAUCUAAGAAAAGAAUGUUCCAAAAUCUUGGCUAUAUUAAAGUUGAUAGGGUGGAAAUAUAAAUCUUGUUCAUUUUCGUUUUGGUUUUAAGCACAUCCUCUUUGUUUGAUUUCAACCUACUCAAACAAGCACAAUAAGCUUCAACAUUGUCAAUAAAGAAAGCACACACAAUUACAAAAUAUGUCAUAUAUUAGUCUACAAGAUAUGAUGAUUUUUUUUCGAUGUUGACCAAGCUAAUUACAUUUUAAUAAAAAUAAUUCUAUCAAUGAAAUUAUUAUGACAUCUCUCUUUAUCAACCUAAAAAAGUUUUUCAAAGCAAAGCAGAGGGAGUUCUUCCUACUCAUGUCGAUUAAUCAAGUCAAAAAGCUAAAAAAAAAAAAAAAAAACCAUUACUACAAUAAAGGAGAUUUCACCUCGGUUGAAAUGAAGUUUUCACAUUGCACCGUUCAUGAGGUAAGGUGGUGUGGUAUGUCUAACACUAUUUACAUCGGGCACAUCAGGUUGGUACCCAAUGUGAUAAGUACUUUUCACAUCGUUUUAUCACCGGAUGUGAAAUCCCUUUUAUAAAUUAGAACAUGUGAUUUACAUUUCACAUUAACUUUCACCUCAAGUGAUGUGAAAUCCAUUUUUCUAAAUGGUACAUUUUUAACCAACUUAAAAUGUCUAAUUUUUUAUAACAAAUAUAUAUUUUUAACCGACUUAAAAUAUAAAUUCAUGUGCUCUAUGAAACUGACACUCACUAAAUUGAAUUAAACAACUCCAACAUUGAUACGACAAUCAUCACUAGCAUUUAACUCCACAACCUCAAAUUUAUAGAUCAGAGGGCCUAUAAUACAUGGUAGUUACAAAUUAUCAACAAUUGGACGAGAUUAAAUAUAUACAAUAUUGUUUAAAAUAUAUGAAUUCAAAGUCAUAGUAGCAUAAAAAAUAAGAAGGGGUUAAAUUGGAAGGGUAUUGACUACAAAUUAACAAAUCAGAAAAUCAAUUUGAAAAGAGUAAGAAUACUAAUUUACUUAACACAAAAAAAUAGAUCCAAAGCAUAUUAUGAUGACUAUUGACUAUAAUCCCCAUUACAUAAGAAAUACCCAACAAAUAUCAAAAAGAGAGAUCUAACUUUCUAUCUCCAUUUUGAUUAUAAUGAGUUCACAAACAAAAUUCCCUAAGAAACAAUAGAGACCAUCAGAAAUCAUAAGCAAAAUGUUCUAAAAGAUAACAAACUCUAAAAGCUAAAGAAUAAAAACAUAAAAUUGCAACUAAUAGAGAAAAGAAACGAUUUAAUUCAUAAGAGAAGAGAACAAAGGAGUUGAAAAUAUAAAAUAAAGAUAUUGAUUCAAGAACAAAGACGAUUUUACCUCUGAACAACUUGAACAAAGCAACAAACAACGAAGGGCAAGAACAUAGACAAUUUUGGGUAUGAAAGGUUUGUAUCUGAGUGAAGCAGCGAAUGGUUUGCCUCUGAACGGUGAAACAACGAAGCUCUAAACAUGGAGGACGACUUGGCUCAUAAUGAGUCUAAUUUUUUUAUUUUUUCUGGAUCUGAGUUUUUUUUUCCCAGAACUUUAUGGCUUUGAAGGUUUUUUAAUGAAAGUGUGAAAAGAAAAUAUUGGGAAAAAAAAGGUGAGGGAAAUCUUAAAAUAAAAGUAGGAAAGAAAAGGGAAAUUGAAAAAUAAUGGAUAAUUUUUUUUUUAGCUUCACAGAUAAUCGAUGCUAUUUAAAAAUAAAAUAAAUAGUUUUAGAAUAUAUUGACGCUAAUUAAAUAAUUAAAUUAAAAUAUAAUGAAUUGAAGAAAGCGUUAGAAUUUGUGGAUGCUAAUUAGACGCUGUUAGCAUCAGAAAUUGUCUCACGCUAAAAUUUAUGAAGCUAGAUUGCAAUUUUUUUGUAAUAUGUGAAAGGGUACCAUAGAAGUUCCCUUUUUAUUAUCUUUGGUGGAAACUCCCAACAAAUUUGAAAUAAUGUUACCCGAGAGGGAUACAUAGAACCUGUAAAAAUUUGCUUUUGGACGCAUUCACCACAUGUCCCGAAGCCUCGGAAUAAGAGUCAAAUAUUCUCAUAAGGCAGCAUACAUUCUUAUUUGGUACGUUUACAAAAAAAAUUAGAAUAUCGUCUGUGCAUAUGUUGGCCAGCUUGCCGAGCAAGAGUAAUCGAACGACUAAGAACCUCUUUUGCCAAACAAAAAUAAAAGAGGGGAUAGAAGGUCCCCCUGACGAACACCCCGCCCGCACACAAGAGAAGAAGCCCAUCGCUUUACCAUUCACCAGAAUAAAAAGACGCGCAGAGUGCAAAAUAUAGAAGAAAACCUGCAGGAGAAAGCCAGGCUAAAACCAAACUGAUGGAGCACAGCUAGCAAGAAAUUCCAAUCUAAAGUAUCAAAUGCCUUUCUGAUAUCAAGCUUGAGCGCUAAAUUACCCCCAUAUUGAUUACGAUUCAGAAGGUUAAUAGCCUCAGAAGCUAUAGUAAUACAUUCUGAAAUGUAUCGAUCACGAAUAAAGCCACGCUACUCCAAUCAGAUUAGGUAGAAGCUCUCCAAGUCUCCCCUAUUAUAUAAAUCCUUAACCUACUUAUUUUCUCUUAUUUCCAAAUCUGCCCUCCAAGUCUCAAUAUUCUAUUCUAAUAUAUUUCUAUAACAUAUAAGAAAUAUAUCUCUAUAACAAAUAUAUUUCUAUAACACAUAUAUUUCUACACCAAAUAAGAAAUAUAUUUCUACACCAGAUAACAUAUAUAUUUCUACACCAAAUAACAAAUAUUUUACACCAGAUAACAUAUAUAUUUUUACACCAAAUAACAUAUAUAUUUCUACACACCAGAUAACAUAUAUAUUUCUAUACCAAAUAACAUAUAUAUUAUACUAAUAAAUACCAACAUAUAACAUAACAAAAUAUCACUCAUCAAAAUAAAUCGACUAAAUUAUAAAAAGACAUCUAAACUCAAUAAAAUAAAUAAAUAAUAAAAUAGGACGUUACAGGAUCUGGGUUUUAUUUUUUUCUUUUCAGAACUUUAUGCUUUUGAAGGGUUUUUAAUGAAAGUGUGAAAAGAAAAUAUUGGAAAAAAAAAAAGGUGAGGGAAAUCUUAAAAUAAAAGUGGGAAAGAAAAGGGAAAUUGAAAAAUAAUGGAUAAUUUUUUUUUUAGCUUCACAGAUAAUCGAUGCUAUUUAAAAAUAAAAUAAAUAGUUUUAGAAUAUAUUGACGCUAAUUAAAUAAUUAAAUUAAAAUAUAAUGAAUUGAAGAAAGCGUUAGAAUUUGUGGAUGCUAAUUAGACGCUGUUAGCAUCAGAAAUUGUCUCACGCUAAAAUUUCUGAAGCUAGAUUGCAAUUUUCUUGUAGUGAUAUGUGAAAGGGUAAUGGUAUUUUUAUUACCUUUGGUGUAAGCUAGAUAUCCUCCGCAUGCAAUUGGAAAAACUAAUUCCUCAAACCUUCUGAGAAUCAAAUGAACGGAAAACUCUCCAUUAAAGACAAUGAUAUUUGAACAAUCAUAUACCUUCAAUACAUUGAUAUGAUAUUGAGUAGCCCAUUUUAGCAAGUAAGUUGUAAUAUAAUUAUAAUAAUAGUAAUAGCAGAAGACAAAAAUAAUGAUUUUAAUUGUGAUAAAUUAGUUGCAUUAUGUGUUAGAAAUGAUAAAAUUGAUAAAAUACUAAUUCUUGAUAAUUUAUCAAUAUAAAAUUCUAAAUUUUUAUUUUAUCGUGCAAAACAAUAGACUAUUAAAAGGUUAGAUUAACUCUAAUAUUUAGAUUUCUUAAUUUAUUUAUUAGUGGAUAAAACAGAAAAAUGUUCUGAAAAUUAUUGAGGCAGCUGUGUGAGAAAACAUAUGAUACAUGUAUAAUUUUUCAAAGUUUGUUAAGGAGAAAGGACAGAUUAAUUUGAUCAAAUACCCAAUAAUUAAUUCAUCAAUGACUACGCGUAUAUUGAAUUUUACUUACUUUGAAAUAGCUUACAAAACAAAAAUAACAAAAUAAUUUUUUUGAAAGAGAUAUAAUAAAAUAAUUAUUGGUCCAUACUUACUAUAAAGAAAAUAAGAGCAGUGUCAACAUUUUCCAGCUAAUAUGCUCACUUACUUUAUUCCUUUCUUUACAUUUCUUUCAUGAAUAGCCAACUUGAUUCGAAUUGGUCCAAAAAACAUGCUCACUUAUUCAAAGGCAGGCCAUUAUUUUUUAAUGAAAUUAUAUGCUUGUAUUUUGAUAUAAACUUUUUUUAUAAACAUUCUGCUAAAGAAAACUAGGUAAAUUGUAAUAAGGACACCAACCAAGAUGAAUAGUUAAGGUAAAAUGUGUAAAGAAAAAACUAUAUAAAGGGUGAUGCUAUCUUUCAUAAUAGCAACAACAAAACACACUUUGGGAAAAUAUGGGGUCUCAAAUGGCCUCUAUUACUCUCACUAUUGCAUUGGCAAUAAUCUCUCUUAGCUUCCCAUCUCAAAUUUCAGCAAACAAUUACAUCUAUUCAUCUCCACCACCACCAAAGCCUUACUACUACCACUCUCCACCACCACCAGUGCACUCCCCACCUCCUCCUUACCAUUACAGUUCACCACCACCGCCACCAAAGAAGGAAUACAAAUACCCUUCUCCUCCACCACCAGUAUACAAGUACAAAUCACCUCCUCCACCGGUAUAUAAGUAUCAAUCUCCCCCACCACCAGUUUACAAGUACAAGUCACCUCCUCCCCCAGUUUACAAGUACAAAUCUCCACCCCCACCACCCAAGAAACCAUACAAGUAUUCAUCACCACCACCACCAGUUUACAAGUAUAAGUCUCCUCCUCCACCUGUUUACUCACCACCUCCACCAGUUUACAAGUAUAAAUCUCCUCCUCCACCAGUUUACUCACCACCUCCACCAUACAAGUAUUCAUCUCCACCACCUCCUCCGUACAAGUACUCAUCACCACCACCACCAGUCUACAAGUAUAAGUCACCUCCUCCUCCUUACAAGUACUCAUCUCCCCCUCCACCUCCAAAGAAACCAUACAAGUACCCAUCUCCACCACCCCCAGUUUACAAGUAUAAAUCUCCUCCUCCACCUGUCUACUCACCACCACCAAUUUACAAGUAUAAGUCACCUCCUCCACCUGUCUACUCACCACCUCCACCAGUCUACAAGUAUAAAUCACCCCCUCCACCUGUCUACUCACCACCUCCACCAGUUUACAAAUAUAAGUCACCUCCCCCACCUGUCUACUCACCACCACCACCAGUUUACAAAUAUAAGUCACCUCCCCCACCUGUCUACUCACCACCUCCACCUGUNNNNNNNNNNNNNNNNNNNNNNNNNNNNNNNNNNNNNNNNNNNNNNNNNNNNNNNNNNNNNNNNNNNNNNNNNNNNNNNNNNNNNNNNNNNNNNNNNNNNNNNNNNNNNNNNNNNNNNNNNNNNNNNNNNNNNNNNNNNNNNNNNNNNNNNNNNNNNNNNNNNNNNNNNNNNNNNNNNNNNNNNNNNNNNNNNNNNNNNNNNNNNNNNNNNNNNNNNNNNNNNNNNNNNNNNNNNNNNNNNNNNNNNNNNNNNNNNNNNNNNNNNNNNNNNNNNNNNNNNNNNNNNNNNNNNNNNNNNNNNNNNNNNNNNNNNNNNNNNNNNNNNNNNNNNNNNNNNNNNNNNNNNNNNNNNNNNNNNNNNNNNNNNNNNNNNNNNNNNNNNNNNNNNNNNNNNNNNNNNNNNNNNNNNNNNNNNNNNNNNNNNNNNNNNNNNNNNNNNNNNNNNNNNNNNNNNNNNNNNNNNNNNNNNNNNNNNNNNNNNNNNNNNNNNNNNNNNNNNNNNNNNNNNNNNNNNNNNNNNNNNNNNNNNNNNNNNNNNNNNNNNNNNNNNNNNNNNNNNNNNNNNNNNNNNNNNNNNNNNNNNNNNNNNNNNNNNNNNNNNNNNNNNNNNNNNNNNNNNNNNNNNNNNNNNNNNNNNNNNNNNNNNNNNNNNNNNNNNNNNNNNNNNNNNNNNNNNNNNNNNNNNNNNNNNNNNNNNNNNNNNNNNNNNNNNNNNNNNNNNNNNNNNNNNNNNNNNNNNNNNNNNNNNNNNNNNNNNNNNNNNNNNNNNNNNNNNNNNNNNNNNNNNNNNNNNNNNNNNNNNNNNNNNNNNNNNNNNNNNNNNNNNNNNNNNNNNNNNNNNNNNNNNNNNNNNNNNNNNNNNNNNNNNNNNNNNNNNNNNNNNNNNNNNNNNNNNNNNNNNNNNNNNNNNNNNNNNNNNNNNNNNNNNNNNNNNNNNNNNNNNNNNNNNNNNNNNNNNNNNNNNNNNNNNNNNNNNNNNNNNNNNNNNNNNNNNNNNNNNNNNNNNNNNNNNNNNNNNNNNNNNNNNNNNNNNNNNNNNNNNNNNNNNNNNNNNNNNNNNNNNNNNNNNNNNNNNNNNNNNNNNNNNNNNNNNNNNNNNNNNNNNNNNNNNNNNNNNNNNNNNNNNNNNNNNNNNNNNNNNNNNNNNNNNNNNNNNNNNNNNNNNNNNNNNNNNNNNNNNNNNNNNNNNNNNNNNNNNNNNNNNNNNNNNNNNNNNNNNNNNNNNNNNNNNNNNNNNNNNNNNNNNNNNNNNNNNNNNNNNNNNNNNNNNNNNNNNNNNNNNNNNNNNNNNNNNNNNNNNNNNNNNNNNNNNNNNNNNNNNNNNNNNNNNNNNNNNNNNNNNNNNNNNNNNNNNNNNNNNNNNNNNNNNNNNNNNNNNNNNNNNNNNNNNNNNNNNNNNNNNNNNNNNNNNNNNNNNNNNNUAUAAGUCACCUCCCCCACCUGUCUACUCACCACCUCCACCAGUAUACAAGUAUAAGUCUCCUCCCCCACCUGUCUACUCACCACCUCCACCAGUAUACAAGUAUAAGUCCCCUCCUCCACCUGUUUCCUCACCACCUCCACCACAUUAUGUUUACUCUUCCCCUCCUCCUCCAGUCUAUUCCCCUCCUCCACCACAUUACAUUUAUUCAUCACCCCCUCCUCCUUACCACUACUAGAUAGUGGUUUACGAUAGUAUCAAAUGGUAUGCUUCUUCCUAUGUACAACCCACACAAAACACUUCAUAAAUAAAACAUUUUAAGACAAGUAUAUACAUUUAUAUAUUAUCAACUAAACAAUUAAAUAAGAGAAACAAAAUUAGUUAUUUGAGCACUUUUACAUACCGACACACGAAACUCGUUAUCUAAUAUAAGCCUCACUUACAUUUUCUUUCCUAUAAUCUAAAUUAUUCAAUUUUUUGAGAUAUCUAAAUUGUACAUACACCUGAUCAAACAGUUUAUAAAACUUAAUCUGAGCCUAUUUACAUUCAUAUUAUUAGUAUUAUUAAAUUAGAAAAGAUAUUAAUAUAUAUUAGUAUAUAUAUUUAGGGAGACAAAACAUGUUAUGUAAUCAAACAUGUUGUGUAUAUAUAUAUUUUAAGUGCUUAAAAUUAAUGAAAGAUAUUAACAUAUUUAUGUAUUUGUAUACUUUUGUAGGAUUUGAGGAAUAUAUUGAAAUAAAGAGAUUAUAGUGCAAAGAAGGAAGAUGCAUUUCGCAAUUAUAUAGGGGAAAAAUCAAAGCACUUUGCCUCUGAAGAAGUUACUCUUUUUUUUCCUUCAUUUGUUUUGUUUUGUGAUUAUUCUCAUUAUUAGUGUGAUUGGUUUUUGAAUUAGACAGUUACAAGAACCGUGUGUUAUAUCAUGAUUGAAUGCAUUUUGUUUUGCGACCUACUUCUUUGCGAGGGGUUGCGAAAAUAAAUAAAAUUGAAUAUUUCUCCUUCUCAGUCUAUGUACAUUUAAUGAUUGAUAAACUAUACUGUAUUCUACAGUAUAAUUAACUAACUCCUACAGAAAUACUGAAAUGGAAUAACUCCUACAGGAAACUCCCAGCAAAUUUGAAAUAAUGCUACCCGAGAGGGAUACAUAGAACCCGUAAAAAUUUGCUUUUGGACGCAUUCACCACAUGUCCCGAAGCCUCGGAAUAAGAGUCAAAUAUUCUCAUAAGGCAGCAUACAUUCUUAUUUGGUACGUUUACAAAAAAAUUAGAAUAUCGUCUGGAUAUAAGUUGGCCAGCCUGCUGAGCAAGAGUAACCGAACGACUAAGAACCUCUUUAGCCAAACAAAAUAAAAGAGGGGAUAGAAGGUCUCCCUAACGAACACCCCGCCCGCACACAAGAGAAGAAGCCCAUCGCUUUACCAUUCACCAGAAUAAAAAGACGCGCAAAGUGCAAAAUAUAGAAGAAAACCUGCAGGAGAAAGCCAGGCUAAAACCAAACUGAUGGAGCACAGCUAGCAAGAAAUUCCAAUCUAAAGUAUCAAAUGCCUUUCUGAUAUCAAGCUUGAGCGCAAAAUUACCCCCAUAUUGAUUACGAUUCAGAAGGUUAAUAGCCUCAGAAGCUAUAAUAAUACAUUCUGAAAUGUAUCGAUCCCGAAUAAAGCCACUCUACUCCAAUCAGAUUAGGUAGAAGCUCCCCAGUUGUAAAGAAUUCCUGAACCAAAAGAAUCGCAUCCUUUGCAACAAUGUCCAAGAAUGUCUGGAAAAAGUAGCCAUCAAAACCAUCCAGACCAGGAGCACCAUCCCCAUUCAAAUCAAAAAUUGCAACCUUAAUCUCUUCAAAAAGUGGUAACUUGACUAGCAUAUUAUUAUCUUCAAAUGUCACUCGACGUGGAAUCAAAUUAGCCACCAUAGAAUUCUGCACACAAGUAUUAUUGUGACCAAAGAGAUAUUCUUAGUAGAAGCCGUAAUUUUUGCAACCCGAUGAAAGUAUUCCUAUCGCCCUGUAUAAAAUGUUAUGAAUGAGUCUUCUCCUUCCAAAAUUGAUCCUGACAUAACAACGCUUCAGUGAUCAGAAGUUGCGCCUUAAGAUCCUCCUGAUACGAAGCAUUAGUAAAACCUUUCGUGUCGAAAAGAAGCUGAAUUUAGUUAACUUCAUCAUGAGCUAACCUAACCUGUCUCGCUACAUCACCAAACACAGACCUAUUCCAGACCCGAAAAACCUGCUUCAACCUCUUAAGCUUUUCCUGAAGACUAGACAUACAACUGCCAACACAAACCUUACCCCAAGUAGCCGAAACUAGACGCUUGCAUCAACCAAGUUUUGAAAAAUUUGAAACUAGUUGCAUGCGGAAGAGGGGAAAACAUCGAAGAAACCAACAUAGCAUGGUUGUUUGAUUGAUGCAUCACCAACGAACAAGAAGUGGAGCGCCAAAAUUCAAACCAAAAUUCAUUACAAAUAGCCAUAUCUAACAUCGAAACAACAGUCUCUUAACCAAAUCUACCAUUAUGUCGGGUGUAGAGCGCCCCCACAGUCGGCAUGUGAGUCAAGAAAUUGGCAUUCGACUAAGACAAAAAAUAUAUGCAAGAUGUAGAAGGUGUUGGUCGACGCCCCCUUUUCUGAUAGGCACUAAAUAAUUGAUAAUUUUAUAAAUGCAUGAAAAAAUUGAAAACUUUCUUUCAUUGUGUUAUUUAUUUAUAAAAUUUAAAAAAAUUAUUGAUUGUUAUAAAUAUAUAUUAUUUAUUUUUAUAUGUUGGAAAUUUCAUGGAUCGUAAUAAAUUAUUUAUAAAUAUUUUUUAUAAUGAAAUAUUUUAAUUUAAUUUUAUCAUAUUAUGUUUUUGUUUAUGGAUCUUUAUGUUUUUUUUUUGUAAUUUAUUUAUGUUAUUUCAUAAAUACACGUAUUUCUUUUCUAUAACUUUUUUUUAGUUUCUCUCAUAUCAUAUUACUAACUAAUAUAUUCACGUGGGCUUAACUCAGUUUUGGUAUGAACAAUGCAUAAUAUAUGCAAGGUCCGGGGUUCAAAUCACGGCCAUCACUAAAAAAUACUACUAACUAAUAUCUUCAUUUCAUUUUCUUUUCUUUCAUGUAUAUUUCUCUUAUAUCAUUCUACUAAAUUGAGUAUUGUUAAUUUUCUCAAAUACUAAAAUGCGUCUUCAGUCUAAAUUUUAUAUGUUUGACAUGAUCAACGCUCUACAAUACAAGAAAAGGUAACUAUUUCUUUUUUACGAAAUAGAAGUUGCUAGGAAACAACAUAUAUAGGCAACCAUGUCCAAUUUUGAAUAAACGAUAAGAAAAUGAGUAAGACUAAAAAUGGUGACUAUGAACGACGGUAGUUAGAAAUAAUAAUUAUCAAAGAAUUUUUUGUGAGUAUUUGAAUAAUAGAAUAAAUAUCGUACAAAAGUACAACAAAGAUAAUUAAAUAAGGUUUAGGUCUUCUUCUUGGAAAGAAAAUAUGUGUUCUGUCAACAUCAGUUAAUUUUCUCAUGUUUUAGUUAUAUUGCAAUCUGUCAAUGCUGUGUUUCAUUGGGUCCAAAAACCUAUAAUUAACAUAAGAGAAACUUAUAAAACCUACUUCAACGAAAUUCAUAAUUUUGAAAAAAGUGAAUUUGAAUAGAUCAACCGGUUGUUAGUCAAAUUUCAUAAACCUAUAAACCUUUGCAAACAUAUGUAUAACCAUUUGGUAAUGGAUAACUCAUUUGAUUGAGCUAUCACAUUAAAGGAGUUCAAGGUUCCAAUCCUCACAAGAGAGAAAAUAUUAACAUAACAAUUAAUAUAUUAACAUUUGAUAUUUAAAAAAAAAAUUAUAACCAUCUUAAUAUCAUUAAAGAACUAAACGCAACUUUGUUGGUGAAGAUCAUGAAUCAUUGGCCCUUCUCGAUCCACAACUUGUCUUGUUGGGAUCCUUGUCAAACUAUGUUGUUUCAAAGACAACAUUUUUGAUGUUUUGAUGAUAACAAAUCACAAGGGUUGGUCUGGUGGUAUUGGUUUGGGACCUGCGAAUGUGCUCCUUCUCGAGGUCUCAGGUUCGAUUCUCUUGACUGUCAAUUUAGGUGGGCUAAUACAAUUUGUUUAUGGGUCAUGCUAACUUGUCCUCAAAGGACACAAGUUAAGAAGCUUAAAAUAGAAUUAACAAAUAAAUUUUAUAUUAAAAUGAUAACUUUAAUAUAUGUUUAAGUGUGCAAGAAUUUAAUUGAGAACUAGAGUUCAUUAAUGACUAUCUAUCUUAAAUUGUAGACUAAAUUAAAAGUAAGUUAGGAAUAAUAAUAUGAGUCAUCCUGACUUUUGCCCUAAAGUACAUGUUAAGCAACCUAAAAAUAGAAAUAUUCUAUUAAAUUUGAGCAUUUAAUUAACAAAAAGUAAAAAGAUAAAAUUUAAAUAUAUUAAUUCAACAAAAUAUUUUUACUUUUGACUCAUUAUCUUAUGUCACAUAAAGAAAUAAAGGAAACUAAGAGUUAGUUGUAUAGAUAACUUGUUCCACAAGUUAUCUAGUAGUUAGUUGUAACUAACUGUAAUAGGUUUUAGAUAGCAUACAGUUGGUGUAUUAUAGUUGUUCUAGUCGUCUAGGAUCUAUAUAUAAGCUGUAAUGCUCAUAUGAUUCAAUCAAUGAGAAUUUUACUCUUCAUAUUCAUUUCUUCUUUCAUAAUAAAUGAUUUUAAGAAUAGGGAAAUGUUAACUGAUACCUUUAAGAUACUGGUUAAGGUACUUCCUCCGAUCCUUAUUAUAAAAAACAAUUGAUUUUUUUUGGUUUAUUGUAUAAGUGAUGUAUCUAGUCUAUAUUUACAAUAAGAUACAUUAAUUAUUCUAUGAAUCUAAAAAGUCAAUUUUUUUCUUAUAAUAAGGACCGGAGAGGGUAUUAAAUUAUGAUACCAUAUCAACUUCACUUACGCUAAGUUGUCUUUGCCAAUUUUAACUCCAUUACACCUAUUAUCAAACAAAUAAUAUUGCCCAUCAACUAGUGAAUACAACAACAUAUUUUCUUAUUUUGCGUAUCUUUGAUGAGAUUCCGACAUGCAUUGGAUAUAUAUCUACAUAGAUCCCAAUCAGGGUAGUUGCCCUCAUUGUGUAUAUAUUUUGUUUGAUGUUUUUUAGUUAUUUUGUUUUUGUUCCUACUAAAAUUAAGCGAUGCCCCCACAAAUCCAUUUUUGUGGAGUUUUGUUAGAUUCAACGACGAUUUUUAACACCUUUUCAUGCUUCUUAAAAUAGCUUUCAUUAUCUAAAAACUUUAAUUUGUAAACAUCAAUUUUAAUUUCAUAAGUCAUGUAUAAUCCAUUAAAAUUUCAUAAACCAUAAAAUUUCAUAGUCCUUACAUAAUUCAUAUCUACAAAUUGCCCACACAAAUUUUCAACUAAGAUCUUUUAUCCGUGCAUACCCUCAGGCACGGGUUCUUUUGUCAUCCCAAAUUUUUAUGUGUAUAUCUCUCAAAGUCUCAUGUUUAAAUCACAACAUCGAUUUCUUUGGAUUAGUCCAUACAAAGCUUUACUUUAAAGUUAAUUAGUCAUCCCACUAGUGGAUUGUAAGAUUGGUUCCAAAGAUGACUUGGUCCUUAGACGCAAUACCGAGUUUCCAAAAGAAAUUAAUAUUUUUAUGACAAAAAAAAAGAAAUUAAUUCAUAUCCGUAUACUAUGAGUCAAUUACUUUAAUUUUAGUAAAGUACACCGCCCGAUUACUAUUAUAAGCAAAAAUCAACAUUUUAUAUUCAUUCAUUAAAUGAUAUAUGUAAUCUAUAAUAAAGAUCUUAUACAUCAUUAAUUGAAUGAAUCUAAUAUAUAUAUAUUUUUGUUUAUAAUAGUGGCUGAAACGUGUAUAUAUUUUAUUUACUCUUUAUAAUGAGUAAACUCCACCACUGACGGUCGAUUCAUAUUUACUGUCACAUGCAAAAUACCGUAAUUUACCAUAAUGCAUGUAAAUGGUGUUAAAUUUGGUAAAGAAAAAAACUAUAUAAAGAGGUCACUAGUUUUCCUUAGGCAUAACCAAAACCCGUUUAAAGUGACUUGUAAGGGGAAGAAUGGGGUCUCCAAUGGCCUCUUCUUUACUCACUACUCUAAUGGCAAUACUCUCUCUAAAUUUUAUAUCUCAAAUCUCAGCUAACAACUCGGUCCACUCAUCUUCACCACCACCACCAAAGUUUCCUUACCAUUACUCAUAUCCACCCCCACCUCCCAAAAAACCCUACAAAUAUCCAUCACCUCCACCACAAAUAUAUAAGUACAAGUCUCCUCCACCACCGCUACCAAAGAAGCCCUACAAAUAUCCAUCACCUCCACCACCAAUAUAUAUGUACAAGUCACCUCCGCCACCGAUAUAUAAGUACAAGUCUCUUCCACCACCGCCACCAAAGAAGCCCUACAAAUAUCCGUCACCUCCACCACCAGUUUACAAGUACAAGUCUCCUCCGUCACCAUCACCAAAGAAGACCUACAAAUAUCCAUCACCUCCACCACCAGUUUACAAGUACAAGUCGUCACCCCCACCUUAUAAGUACCCAUCUCCACAACAACCUCUACAACUAUCGCAACAAACUACCAAUUACUAUUACAAGUCACCACCACCGCCACAUAGGAAGCCCUAGAAAUACCAAUUUCCUCCACCACCACCUAAGAAGCAAUACAAGUAUAAUUCAUCUCAAC